rnacentral:lncRNA from 1 species
AGGAGAAAAGGUUUCAUCAUAGCCAACACCAUAAAUUUGGCGAAAACCUUUAGCGACUAAUCGCCCCUUGUAUGUUUGUACAUUACCAUCCAUGUCGGUUUUAUUUUUGAAAACCCACUUGCACCCUAUUGUAACACCCCUUACCCGUAUCCAAGGCCGGAACAGAGUAUGAGGCAUUACCAGACUUAACCAUACACAUAGAUGAAAACCGGGCCAUAAAAUUUCAUUUAAUUCAAAACUUUUUGAACACAUGCAUAGGCUCAUAUUUAAAGACAUAUAACGUGGCAUAAAUGAACACUUACACAUCCAUAAUCAUGCAAUAACAUGUCUUCCACUUUAAACAUAUUUGCUUACCAUCCUGUAUAUAAUAUAUAUCCUUACAUUAACUAGAACUAGACAUGCUAAAUCUUAUUCUCAUUUUAUACCAUCAUAACGUAGUUACCAAUUUGUCCAUUAAACAUCCAUAUUCAAGGCAACAUUACUCAUUUCCAUUUAAUUCAUGAUCCACUGGCCUGCAUUUAACUUACCUGAUGUAUUACCAAUCAUGCAUAACAAACAAAGCUAACUAUAUCAUCACAUCAAAACAUAGGACAUGGCAUGAUUAAUUAAACUUAUAAACCAUAAUGGAUAAGGACCACAUCUCAUGAUCAUAUACGAUAACUGAAUGCAGACUGAUACGUAUGGUCAAAAUCAUAAUAAUAAUACAUAUCACAAACCAACUUCCUAUACAUGCCACUCACUUGAUAUUUCUAAUAUUUGAAUUAAUUCGCCCAAAAAUGAUAGUUUGAUAGUGUGAUUUUGCCUCCGACGAUCUCCAACCCCGACCUGACCUGCCAAUACUAAAGAAAUGGAGAGGAUGGGUAAGCUUUACGCUUAGUAAGUCCAUAUGAAAUUAAUAAGCAAUUACUAACAUGCUUUUCAAGAUAAAACACUAUAAUUGUACAAUUACACAUGUUCAGGUUAAACUGUUUUAUCGAGUUACAGUUACCAAAUCAUUCAUAUCUAAAGCUACAAAACUCCAAAUUUAGUUUUUUUUUAAUUUUCCUUGAAACUAUAUUCAUAUGCCUUUCUCCCAUAAAAUUUCCAGAAUUUUUGGUUCAGCUAAUUAGUACAGUUUAUUCAUUAAAGUUUUCCCUGUUUUGCUGUCCAACAGUUCUGACCUCUCUUCACUAAAAAUUAUUUAUCUCAUAUUUCAGGACUCGUAUGAUGUUCCCAUCCAUUCCUCCUAAAAGUAGACUCAUUUAAUAUUAUAUUCAUAUAAAUUAUAACUCAUAAUUAUUUUUGUACAAUUUUUAACAAUUUUUCCAAGUCAGAAUAGGGGAUCUCAAAUUCAUUCUGACACUAUCCCACAAAAAUUAAAAUAUCACAUAAUCUAGAACUCUUUUGCUCCCCUUGUUUCUUUUAUAUGAAAACAAACUCAUUAAUAUUUAAUUCCAUAAUUUUUUUGAAAUUUAAUUCAACUUACACAAUUUUUGGUGAAUUUUCAAAGUCACGCAACUGCUGCUGUCCAACACUGUUUUACUACUAAAAUUCACUCUUACAUAAUUUCACUUAAUCCAUUUUGUCUUAUUGAAGUUCACUCAAAUAUCGAGCAAAUUGCUCAUAAUUUUUAUAAACAUAUACCUGCGCUUAUUCAUCAUAUAAUCAUGUUCACAUGUAUUUUUACUUAAUUGAUUUUCCCGUUGAACUCUUUGGAAUAAUAACUGAUACUCAGUUGCCUACACAUAUUUUCACACUUGUAGACAAGGCUAUCUAGUACGCAUAGUAGCUUUCACUUAGUACUACACAUGCGACUAAUUAUCUGGUACACGUAGUAGCCUGCACUUAGUACUACACACGUGAUCGAAGUUAUUGGGUACGCAUAGUAGCCUGCACUUAGUACUACACACGUGACCUCUCAAUAGAUCAUUCGUAUCGUUUCUAUUCCGAAGGCUCAACCGGGAAAUUCUUCACUUUCCAACAUGUUACAAAUUUAUUCAUAGUCCUUUUUCAAUUUGCAAUUUACAAUAAAUAGUCAUUCUAUAGGCAGCCACAUUUCAUAUGACAACAAAAUAUAAUAAAAUAAAAAGAAUCGAUAAAUUAUUUACAUACAAACUUGUCGAAAUCUCAUCAAGUACAACCAUGUAGCAAUUCAUACAACCCAGGUAAUAGUAAUUUAACACUCAAUUCAUGUAACAAUAAUUUGCCAUUCAAUUUCACAGGACACAACAAGCAUUACAUUUUCCCAUAUCAUACAUACCAUCCAUCAACUUCUCUUAAACAUAUUAAACCAUACAAUUUAUGCCAUAUCAAUAGAGAAUUACAAUUCAUGCAUGGUAUUGCAUUAUUAUUAACACACGAACUUACCUCGAUCCAGAAACGGUAAUUUACCAUUUUAGUCCAUAACCUUGUAUUUUUUCGAUUUAAGCCCGAAUCUCGAUUUCCUUCAUCUAUAAUAUCACAUUUAGCCUAAUAAUUAGUCACAUUAUUCAUACGGGUCCAAAAAUCAUAUUUUUACAAAUUUUCAUUUUGACCUCUAAACUUUUGCAUAUUUGCACUUUUGCCCCAAGGUUCGGAAAUUAAACUUCGUCCUAUUUUCUUAUGUUUUAUGACAUGCUGAUCAUUUUUCCCUUCUAUGAAAAAUAUCAAAUUCUCACUCUAACAUGUACUUAUGAACAUUAGGUAUUUUUACCGAUUAUGUCAUUUUACUCGUUUUCAUGUAAAAUCACUUAGCAAAAGUUUUUUAAGACAAUUUCAAGCUUUAUAUUCUACCAUUAAAGAUCAAAAUACAUGCAUAUCAUUCAUGGUUAAAUUUUUAAACACAACCCUAGCUCAAAAUAAUGGUAGAAAUAGCUAGAAUAUGUUACCGGGACUUUAAAAAUGUAAAGAACAUUAAAAACGGGGCUCGGGAUCACUUACAAAUGAGCUUGGAAGCUUGAAAAACCUAGCCAUGGUGUUUUUCAUGAAAAAUUCGGCGAUGAGGAAGAAGAUGAGCAAAUUUGGCUUAUUUUGGCAUUUUUAAUUCAUUUAAUUACCAAUUUACUAAAUUGCCCCUAAUGAAAAACUUUUAAAAAUUAUCAUACCAUGUCCAUUUUUGUCCACGAACUUCAAAAUGGUCUAAUUACCAUUUAAGGACCUUUAAUUUAAAAACUCAUAACAAUUAGACACUUCUAACAUGUAGAACUCAACUUUUGCACUUUUACAAUUUAGUCCUUUUGACCAAAUUGAGUGCCCAAACGUCGAAUUUUUCGAACGAAAUUUUCAUGAAAUCAUUCUGUGAAAUCGUAGACCAUAAAAAUAUAAUAAAAAUGAAUUUUUCUCAUCGAAUUUGUGGUCCCGAAACCACUGUUCUCUGACUAGGCCCAAAAUCAGGAUGUUACACCCAUAGGCUUAACCCGUUCGGGUGGGUCAAUCAAAGUCCACACUUGGUUUUCAUACAUGGAAUCCAUCUUAGAUCUCAUGGCCUUAAGCCUCUCAGAGUCUGGGCUCGUCACUGCUUCUUGAUAAGUCCUAGGCUCAUCUUGAUCUAAAAGAAGACUGUCACCAUACGUUGUAAUGAGAAAUCCAUAUCUCUCAGGUGCAUGGCAUUCUUUUAAAGAUUUGCGCGGUAGUUGUGUUUCUACAUUAGUUACUUGUUCCUUAAUUUCUUAUGGAAUUUUCUAUUGUUCUAUCUCUGGUUUAGUGGUAUCUUGUGAUUCUCGAAUUUCUUCAAGUUCAAUCUUUCUCCCACUUCCAUUUCUGGAAACAAAUUCUCUCUAGGAAGACACCAGUCUGAGCAACAAACAUUUUGUUCUCAAUAAGAUUAAAGAAAUAAUAUCCUUUGGUUUCUUUCGGAUACCCUACAAAAAUACACUUUUCAGAUUUGGGUUCAAGCUUAGUAGACGUCUGACGUUUAACAUAAGCUUCGCAACCCCAAAUUUUCAUAAAAGAUAUACUGGGACGUUUCCCAGUCCACAUCUCAUAUGGCAUCUUUUGAACCGAUUUAGAUGAAACACGGUUUAGUGUGAAAGUAGCUGUCUCAAGUGCAUGUCCCCAAAAAGAAGUAGAUAGAUCAGCAUGACUCAUCAUGGAUCGAACCAUGUCUAAAAGAGUUCGAUUUCUUCUAUCAAAAACUCCAUUCCAUUAAGGAGUACCAGGAGGAGUAAGCUGUGCGACAAUCCCACAUUUCUUCAAAAGAUUAUCAAACUCUAGGCUCAAAAAUUCUCCACCUCGAUCAGAUCAAAGUGUUUUGAUAGUUUUGCCUAGUUGAUUUUGUACUUCAUUUUUGAAUUCCUUGAACUUUUCAAGGGCCUCUAACUUAUGGCGCAUGAGAUAAACAUACCCAUAUCUACUGAAAUCAUCAGUGAAAGUAAUGAAGUAGUGAAAACCACCUCUGGCCUGUGUAUUUAUUAGUCCACAUACAUCAGAAUGUAUCAAGCCCAAUAAAUCACUAGCUCGUUCACUUUUACCAGUAAAAGGAGAUUUAGUCAUUUUUCCCAAUAAGCAAGAUCCACAUACUUCAAAUUGUUCAAAAACAAAUGAAUCCAAGAGACCAUCUUUAUGGAGUUUGGAUAUGCAUUUCUCACUUAUGUGGCCCAAACGACAAUGCCAAAGAUAAGUUUUAUUUGAGUCAUUUAUUUUUGAUCUUUUAGUAUUUAUGUUGUAAAUGGGAUUCAUUUGAUCUAAAAUAUAGAGGCCAUUUAUCAAUUGUGCUAAACCAUAGAAAACAUUAUUGAGAUAAAAGGAACAACAAUUAUUCUUAAUAAUUAUCUCAAAAAUAAUUUUGUUUAAACAAGAAAUUGAAAUAAUGUUUUUAGUCAAACUGGGCACAAAAUAACAAUCUUUUAAACAUAAAUCUAAUCCACUAAGCAAAGAUAAAAUGUAUGUUCCCACAGCUAAUGCAGUAACUCUUGCUCUAUUUCCAACUCGCAGGUCCACAUNNNNNNNNNNNNNNNNNNNNNNNNNNNNNNNNNNNNNNNNNNNNNNNNNNNNNNNNNNNNNNNNNNNNNNNNNNNNNNNNNNNNNNNNNNNNNNNNNNNNNNNNNNNNNNNNNNNNNNNNNNNNNNNNNNNNNNNNNNNNNNNNNNNNNNNNNNNNNNNNNNNNNNNNNNNNNNNNNNNNNNNNNNNNNNNNNNNNNNNNNNNNNNNNNNNNNNNNNNNNNNNNNNNNNNNNNNNNNNNNNNNNNNNNNNNNNNNNNNNNNNNNNNNNNNNNNNNNNNNNNNNNNNNNNNNNNNNNNNNNNNNNNNNNNNNNNNNNNNNNNNNNNNNNNNNNNNNNNNNNNNNNNNNNNNNNNNNNNNNNNNNNNNNNNNNNNNNNNNNNNNNNNNNNNNNNNNNNNNNNNNNNNNNNNNNNNNNNNNNNNNNNNNNNNNNNNNNNNNNNNNNNNNNNNNNNNNNNNNNNNNNNNNNNNNNNNNNNNNNNNNNNNNNNNNNNNNNNNNNNGGUCUUACACAAGUUCUAGCAUAUCUGUGUCGAUGCCAUGUCCCAGACAUGGUCUUACACUAACACAUCUCGUAGCAGAUGCAUGUCCCAAACAUGUCUUACACUGACUUACGUCUCGAGGCCGAUGCAUGUCCCAGACAUGUCUUACACUAGCACUCAUCUCAAUGUUGAUGCCAUGUACUAGACAUGGUCUUACACUAACUCUCAUAAUGUGGCCGAUGCAUGUCCCAGACAUGUCUUACACUAGCUCACAAUAACCCAUAUGUCAUGGCAUGAAUAUCUGAUUUAUUUCUUAGGUUCAAACGGGAGCUCUACUAUCUCUAUUACCCUCAUGCUUUCUCAAUUCCACAAUCAAGAAAUUCAUGCUAUAUUAAAUUCAAGUACAAUUCAACACAUACAUUAGCAUCGUAGUUGUAUUAUUUACAUACAGCUUACCUCGGAUUACAAAAUAUGGCAACUAGUCGAUUUAGUCGAUUUGCUUGGCUUUCCCUCGGUCUAGAUUUGGAUUCGAUAUUUCUUGAUCUAUAAUAGAAAAAUGCACUUAUUUAGACACUAUAAAAUUAGGCAAUCAAAAUUUCACUUCUUCAGUGAAAUGACCAUUUUGCCCCUACACUUUGACAAAAUAACAAUUUUACCCCUAGGUUCAAAAAUCAAUUUUUAUCAAAUUUCUUUGCAUCUUAAGUCUAGAAAAACCCUUUUUACUCUUAUAGCAACUCCAAAUUCCCACUAUUUCACAUACUUAACAUCUAUUUUACAACUUAUGCAAUAUAGUCUUUUUAGGUGUUUUCAUGCUAACACAUUUCACAAAAGUUGUUCAUAACACACCCAAGACUUAUUUUCUUCCAUAAAAACUCAGCGAACAUUACAAACCCUUUCAUGGAAAAACCCUACACUCUUGAUCAUUUUUCAAAAUAGGACCAUCAUUUGAAAGCCCAUGUUUCAAGGGUCUCAAAAGUACAAAAAUAUUCAAGAAAAACCAUUAAAAUCACUUACUUUAGAAGGCUUAAAUUUUCUGAAAUUUCAAGCUCUUAAAACCACAUUUCUUUGCUAAAAAUUUCAGUCAAAAGAAAGGAUGGAGAAAAGAAAAAUGAUAGCUAGGCUUUUUGGCAUCAUUAUAGUACACCUUAUGUCAUUAACAUUACCUAAUGUUACACCUUAUGUCAUCAACAUUACCUAAUGUUGACUUUACCACACUUUCAUCUCUCAUGGCUGGCCAAGCUAUCACAAUAGGGUCUAAUUUCCCUUUAAAAACCCCCACUCUUUAUUCUCUAGCUAUUUGACACUUUUAGCUAUCAAUUUAGAACUUUUUCAUUUUAUGCAAUUUAGUCCUUUCUCGCAAUUGGACUCACAAAUGUUAUAAUUACUUCACCAAAUUUUCAUGCACUAUUAAAAACAUGCUAUAAUAUCAAAAUAAUAAUAAAAUAAUUUCUCUAACUUCAGAUUUGUGGUCCCGAGAUCACUAUUUCGAUUAGGCCCAAAAUCAGACUGUUACACAUACAUAUAACUAUUUACAACUAUUUACAUGCCACUUAUAAUUGGGCCAAAAUGGUCAAAAAUCUAUCAAAUUGGUAGGUGGAUAGUGUGAGCUCCAAUUUGAUCCAACUGAUAGCACGAUUCCCAAAAAUCUACAAGGAAGAAAAUAGAAGAAAGGUAAGCAUACUUAAUUCUUAGUAAGUUCGUACAUAAAUGAACAAAACUUACCCCACAUUUCAUAACUCAAAAAUUGAAAUAAAUAUACAAAACAUGGUAUUCCCUAACACCUUAUACAAUUCAUGCCAUUACCAAAUUGGUUAGUACAUUAUCACAUAAUAAGCAUAACAUGUAUAUAAGUAAACAUAAUAAACAUAAUAACCAUACUCAAUUCAUGAAUAACAUCUAUACACAUAUGAGAUUUUCCUUUGAUUCAAUUUCAUAAUGUAGUUUCGCUCAGAGAACUAUAGUAAAUUAACCUCGGAUACUUGGGAUAGAAUUGGCCACACGAGCUAUGAAAUAUACUAGCUCCUACGAGCUAUAAUCGGGACAUGAACCUUUACUUGAUGUUGCUCACAUGAACUGUAGAGAAUCUACAACACAUGUAGGUUAUCGGCCUUCGGUGAGGUAUCUAACACCGAUACAAGGUACCUGAUACUUUUUGGAAACCUGUACAAAGUCCUUGCUACUUUUUCAACCCUAAUAACAUAUCAUUUGUGUCCUACUCAUUCACAAAGUUCACAUGAGCCUCAAUUUCAUAUCCAUUCUAUUUCAAUUCUUUACCAUCUUCAUAUACAUGUAAUACAACCAUUUGCAUUCACAUAUUCACUUGCAUUUAUAAACUAAACCUUAUUUUACAAUUUAGUCUUUAAAUAUCAAACUCAUUAUUUUAUAUAACUUAAUCACAAAUAACACAUAUUUAUACAAUACAAACAUACCAAAUACUAAUCAAAAUAAAUAUCAUACGAAAUUAUCUAAUCAAAAUUGAAACAAACACUACAUCGAGGACUAUUCUGUAAUUUUUUGUUUUCCCUAUUUAUCUUCAACUUGCUUCAGAUAUUGAUCUAUAUAAUAAUUAAUUUCAAAUUAUCAAUUAAAAAUACCUUAUAAUGUCUAAAUAGAUGCAUAUGACCCCUUUAAUAACAUAUUACAAAAUUUCCCUAAAUUUUUACAUUUUAUUCAAUUUCAUCCCUAAAACUUAACUAUCAUAUCUUUUACAUUUAAGCCCUAUUUUUCAAUCUAAUUUCAAUUCUAUCCUUUUGUAACCCUAUAGAAUCAAAAUUUACAGAAAUUUUAUGUCAAAUUUGACAUAAUUACAAUUUGGUCCUUAACCUCAAAAUGAACAAAAUCCACUUUACAAAUUAGUCCUACUUAACAUCUAAGCUUAACAUGCAACCAUUUGUCAAUAAAACCUUCAAAAAAUCAUCAAUAGAAACAUUUCAAAACUUUAACAGUUUCAUAAAAUAGUCCUUAGGCUAGCUAAAUCAAGCUCUCAGGAUUCCAAAAACAUAAAAAUUAUAAGAAACAAGCAAAAAUAGACUUACCAAUUGAAGGACCAAGCUUGGACAUAAGCUAGAUCUUCUUGUCCCUUUUUUAAUCGAUUUUGGGGUAAGGAAGAAGAAAUAGAAUGAUUUUUUAUUUCUCUUACUGUAAGUUUUAAUUAUGUUUUACUAUUAUAACUAAAUAACUAAUAAAAUAUAAACAUAUUCACCCAUUUUAAAGCCAUCAACCGACCAAUAUAGUUAGAAUUGGCUUAAUUGCCAAUUAAAUCCCUAAAAAUUCAUUAUUUAAGCCUCUUAUCAACUAAAAUUCAAUAGCAAAUAAGUUUUACAUUUUAUACAAUUUAGUCCUUAUACCCUAAUUAAUCAUUCAAUCAACAUAACUACUGGACCAAAAAUUCAAUACAACUCUAUAAUAGACUAGUACUUAUUAAUAGUUAACAGUUACUAACUCGAUCAUCAGAAUAUAGGGUUGUAAAACCAUCACUUUCGGUACAACUGGAAACUGUGCUAUUACAAGAAACUAAACAGAACUUAGCUAAAAAUGAUCAAACCAAUGAAUUCAGUACAAAUGGUGACUAAAUGUUAUACUUCCAAAAUAGAUUGUAUGUACCGAAUGAUUUAGCAUUGAAGCAAGAUAUUCUCCACGAGGCUCACAAGAGUUCGUAUGUGAUGCAUCCAUGUGGAAAUAACAUGUAUAAUGAUUUAAAACCAUUAUAUUGGUAGUAAGGCAUUAAAAGGGAGAUAACUGAAUACGUAGCCAAGUGCUUGGUGUGUCAACAAGUUAAGUCAAAUCAACAAGUCCUUCAAGAUUAUUACAACUUAUAAUGAUUCUUGAAUGAAAGUGGGAACAAGUCAUUGUUGUGCAGGAUUUUCAUUAUCACCGAAAUGGAAAGAUUCCAUUUGGGUAAUUUUUGAAAACUUAGCUAAGUCUAUUCAUUUUAUUCCAGUGAUAGUUGGUUAUUCACUAGAGAGACUAGUCGAAUUGUACUUUUCAAAGAUUGUGAGAUUGCAUGACGUGCUAUUAUCUAUAAUUUCAUACCAAAAUUUGAGGUUUACCUUCAAAUUUUAGAGCAAACUGCAUAAAGCUUUAGGCACCAAAUUUGAUGCUCAAUUUGAACAAGUAUUCCAAGUACUUGAAGACAUGUGUUUUUGCGUAAUUGAAUUUGAUGGAUGCUAGGAAAGAUUUUUACUGAUAGUGAAAUUCACAUUCAACAAUAGUUAUCAAUCAAGCAUCAAAAUGGCACCUUACAAAUAUUUAUAUGGUCGUAAAUGUCGAGCUCCUCUAUGUUGGUCAGAAUUGAGUGAAAGAAAAAUAGCAAGAAGAGACUUGAUGAGAGAAACGGAAGAUAAAGUCAGAAUUAUUAAAGAUUCCUUAAAAGUUGCAUCUAAUAGACAAAAAGCUUAUGCUGACCUAAAAAGAAAGGAUAUUGAGUUUCAAAUUGGUGAUAAAGUAUUUCUAAAGGUUUCACCUUGAAAAAAAGUUUUGUGAUUCAGUAGAAAAUGGAAGCAAGGUCUAAGGUUCAUUAGACCGUAUGAAAGUCUCAAAAGAAUUGGACAAGAUUCACAAUGUUUUUCAUGUGUCAAUGUUGAGAAGAUACAAAUCUGAUCCCUCUCAUGUUUUAACUCCUGAUGACAUUGAGUUGCAAAGUAAUUUGACCUAUGGCAAGGAACCUGUAAAAAUAUUAGCUCGAGAAACAAAAGAAUAAAGAAAUAAGCAAAUGGCAUUGGUGAAAGUGCUAUGCCCCCAUCAUGUCACAGAAAAGGCUACUUGGGAACCAAAAAAAGCUAUGAGAUCUUAAUAUCCCCACCUUUUCUCAUGUAAAAUUUUGAGGACGUAAUUUCUUAAGAAGGGAGAAUCGUAAUGAUCCGAUUUUUAGUGGUACUAAAAAAAUACGAUUUCAAAACUAUAUUUCCAUAAAUCGAGUCCGUAAAUAUUAAAUAUUAAUAUUUAUAAGGAUAAUAUAAAAAUAUAUUAAAGAUUGUCCAAUAAUUUUUCUGAAUUAAUAGUUAAUUAAGGCUCAAGGAUUAAAUUGUAAAGGUUCAAUUGCUAUAGAGUAUUAAUUGACUAAAGGCUUGAGGACUUGAAUAGCAAUUAACCAAACGGUUAAAAUGUUUAUUAGACCAUUUCUAAAUAAGAAUUAGUGGAAGAUGGUGGCAUAUUCCUCUAGUUUUGAUUAAGUAUUAAUUUUUACUAAUUAAUCCAUAAUUAAUUAACUAAACUAGGCUAAUUAAUAAUUAAUUAAAGUAUAAAAGCCAAACUAAGAGAAAAUUCAUUAUAAUCUUCCUUAUUUCAAUAGUCCACCAUAGAAAAACAUUUAAGGAAAGCUUCCAAACUUUGAAACAUCCAGCCAACUAAUAGAUCAAGAAUCGAAUUGAAGAGGAGUUGAUCGGAGAAAAGCUAAAAUUACAGAUUAGCACCUGAAGUAUCCACUUUUACAUAUUUUGAAUAGGUAAGUUCAUAUGAAACUUACCACCCUAUUUUAUUUUAUGUAUGAAUUAUGCUUGAAUUUAUCUAUACGUUAGAAUUAAGUAAAAUUUAGUAAUUUUGGCACAUAUGGCUUAAAUGACCUGAAUUAAAUAGUCGUGUGAAUAUUUGUUAUUAUGAAAUAGUACAGGGUGCAAAUAUGAAUGUCCAAUGAUCACAGGACUCGUGAAUGAAAUGUACAAGGAUUGGUAAUGACAUAUAUAUAGAAAUGAUGCCUAUGUGAACUUAGUAAAAGGUUAGGAUACGUAUGGCAUGCCAUUAGGGUUAUAUGCGUGUUUGAUUAAGGACUUUACAUGUUAUUAUGAUACCUAGCAUUUGCUGCAAGUUCUCAAGUUAUAUGUAUCGUAGGUUUAGCCUGAACGGGUAACCUCGAUAGAAUGUCACCUUGUGUAAGCAACUCUAUCAUAACGUCAGCUUGUGUGAGCAACCCUGAUAUAUUAUCAACUUGUGUGAGCAUCUUAUUCUCAUGUAUCUGAGUCUAUUUUACUAUAGUUCCACUGGGCGAUAUCCAAUUAAUUGGAAAUGGAAUGUUAAUUGUGAAUUGAAAAUGAAAUGGUAGUUGUUGGUGCUUGAUAUGUGAAUAGCUAAGUGAUACCAUUAAAUUCUUAAUUCUAAUUAUGAUUUGGGAAUGUGACUAACACAUUAAAAUCACAAUGUUGUUACAAGAUAAUUGUAUCAUCAUGUGUCAAAGGGUAGCUAUGUUGUAUACCAAAUUGAUUAGUUUUACUUAUGCCCUAAAUGACCAAGUUAUAUUUAAUGAUUUCAUUUGGACUUACUAAACAUUCUUAAUGCUUACGUUGCGUAACACCCCAAAAUAGGGCCUAGGAGUUUUAGGGGUAUCUUAGGAAUUUUAGCCUUAGAGUGUUCAGAAUCAUGUGGUAUGAUUUAUCGGUAAUGUUUUUUACUAUGGUUUUUAGAAAAUUAAGUCAAUUUUUGAAGAAGAGUUUCAAAGACCUUCAAUUUUGAAAAUUGGACUGAUUUGUAAAAGAGUCAAAAUUGUGGGUUUUUAAAAGGCAAUUAAACCAAAUUUUAAAAAUCACCCUAAUAUUAUCCCUCACCUAUAAAUUUCACCUUAGUCUUCUUCAUCUUCAUGCUUUAGCCGUCCCUCGAUCGCAAAACUUUUUUAUUCCAUUUUUUGUUCUUCAACCUUAAAUCUUUUUGUUUCUACCAUCACCCAAGCUAAAUAUCUCCAUAAAAUCCAAGAAAAGCACCUAAAAACACCAUAACUUUCUCCAUUGUCAAGCUUGUGGGUUUUCCAGGUUUUCAAUUAAACUUUUAGAUUUUCAUUAAAUAAGGUAACGAUUUAAUUCCUUAUGAGUUUCUAAUGUUAUUUCAUCUUUAAAACUAAUUUUUUAGUCAUUAAAUCACAUGUUUUGAAUAAAAGCCAAAAAGUGGUUUGUUAAUGGUGGAUUUUGGGAUUUUGGGUAAAAAUAUGGUUUCAAAGUGUUUUUCAACUUGUUUUGACAUGAUUAGAAGGUUUCUAAACAUAAUUUAAAGUUUCGUUAAAGAUUUCUAAUGUUUUAAUGAAUUUUCAAAAAUAGUCAUAAGACAUGUCGAAAAAGUUGAUACCAUGAAUUAAGUAGUUUUGUGUAGUUUAAAGGUUGGGAAUUAGUUGUUGAUGAAUAAUUAGAUGAAUGUAACUCAUUUUAGGCAAAAAGAUUAAGUAUAGAUCGAGAUAUUUGGAUUUCAAGUUGGUUAUGUUAAAGGUUUCAGUUACAUGAGAACAUAGCUUAGGCUUAUUUUGUUGAUUGCUUGUGUGAGGCCUUAGCUAAUUUUUGCAUACAUUUUUGUAUGAAUUAUUGUGUUGAAGCUUCGAAUUUGUUAAGACCUUCUACGAGUAGAGAUAAAGGCAAGGAAAAGCUAGUUUGAGCUUUCGGCUUUUCAACAAAAUCAUAAUUGGUGAGUGUUUGGAAUAACUUCUUGUGGACAUGCUUCAAUGCAUUAUUUGGGAAUUUAGUAGCAGCCUAAACCCCUACUCUAAAUUUUGAGUGUAAGCUUUCUCAUACCUAUGUUAUCUUGUGAAUUAUGUGCUUAUGUGUUUGUGAAUAUGUGAAUUGAGAUGAGAUGUUAUAACAUGUGAUAUGUGGUUAUGAUAACUAUUGCGAAAGUGCAAACAUGUACAUGUUAUGUAUAAGUUAAAUUUUAGUGAAAGUGUUUUGCUAAAAAUGCAAAUAUAUUGUGAUAGUGUACAGAUAAUCAGUGAGUGAUAUGUGUUUGAUUUCAAAUAUUUUGGCCUUUUGAUCUUGAAAUUGUUGGAUAUAGUUGGCAUGACAUAGGAUUGUGAGUACUCAACUAUAUGUAUAGUGAUUUUGGGCAUUGAGACCCUGGGACAUGUUGGAGGGAUAACGGAAUGUGAGCUGAGCUCCUUUCAACAGGACACGUGAAGGGAAUAAUGAGAGUGAUAGCUUUAUGCUUCACUUUUAAGAAAUCUUUGGAAUAAUGAGAGUGAUAGCUUUAUGCUUCACUUUUGGGAAAUCUUUGACUCUAUGAGUCUAUGUGGUGUAUUGGAGAUCCAUGUAUCCAAUGAGUGAUGAUAGAUCUCACUUUUUUGUUUCAUAGCUUAAGUGCCAAUUUAUCUAUAAACAUGUUUUUGACUGUUGUGAUAUAUACGAGUAUUGUCAUAUAUGCUUAAACGUUAUGUGAUAAUAUGAGUAUUGUGAUAUAAGCUUAAAUAUUAUGUGAUUAUAUGUGUAAUGUGAUAUAUGCUUACAAGUGAAUAUGAUUACCAUAUAGAAGAACUUGUAAAUAAUUCACGAGUGAGUAUAACAUGACACUAGUUUUGGAACUGUUGAGGUUGUACUAUAUGGUUGUUUCAUUGAUGCUUAUGAAUUGUUUGCGUCGUAGUUGUUCUAAGCAUUCACUGAGCUUGUUAAGUUCACCCACUCCCUUCUGAAACCCUUACAGAUUAGUUGUGUGCCAGUGUGAGCGGUGUGGUUCCGAGGGGUGAUCCAAGCAAGUCCAUUUCUGUGAUUUCAUAGGUGUUAUUGUUAAUUGUUUAUGUUUUAGGAAUAACGCAAUGUGUUAGACUUGUUUAUAGCCAUGUUAAUUUCUAGACAUUUUGCUGGUUUUUGGUUCAGUUUAUAAGGAUUACAUGUUAUUGUUAUGCUUGGGUUCAUGAACAUGAGGAUGGAUUGACGUUACUUGCUUGAACACGAUUUUGCGAUAUUGAAUUGUUAAUUAGGCCUGUGAAUGAUUAAUUAUCAAAGUAAUUGAUGUUUGAUGUUUCAGAACUAAAUUGGAAUGGAUUUAUUGCUUAUGUAUACUGCAUUUUUGAGGUUCGGAUAGAGGUAUCGAUAAACCGGGUUUUAAAAUUGAUACCUCUAUGUUUUGAAACGUACAGGGUGUCAAAAUAGAGAUUUAGUAUCGAUACCUUUGCUCAAGUAUCGAUUCUCGGGGUUAAAAUAUCGAUAUUUCAUGGUAGGUACCGAUAAUUUUUGAGACUUUGGCUUAUAAUUGAAAAAUAAAAUGCAAGUUUCAUAUCAUUUUUUUAGGUGGUAUCGAUACCACUUAAAGAAAAUAUCAAUACCCUAGUGUCAAUAUCAAUACCUACAUAAUAGUUUUGAGAUUUUGUUAAAUGGACCUUAUGCAUGUUUAAUUAUUUUUAUAAGACUAUUUGAAGUAUGUUAGGCAUGUUCUAAUGAUGAUUGAUAUAUGUUGACUAAAAAUUUAUAACAUCACUGAUAAAGAGGAUGAUUUCUUAAUAAUGUGACAAUUUACUAUGACUAUGACAUGAGACGGUGGUGUGGCAUCUUGGUAUUCGAGCUUGGCGACCAGGCCAGGUAUAGGGUGUUACACGUUGGUUGUUUUCUUUCUUUGUAGAUCAUUAUCUUGCGAAACUUGCCGAGCCAGAUCAAUAGAGGAGCUCACAUUAUCAUAAGACGGUAGAUUUAUGUUCAUUUGAAUCUAGACUUUGUGGCAUGUACAUAAAGAUCUUUGUUGUGCAAAUGGUCAAUUGGUAUUAAUUUUAUGUGAUAAGUUUAUAAUGGUUGGAACUUAUGUAAUUGGUUUGUUAUGUGAUCAAAUUGACGCAUAUUUUGAUCAUGUGUAAUGCUUGUGUGCAUAAUGAUCUCAAUUGAUAGGUGUUGGCAUGAUAAAUAUUAUAAGUAUGAUAGUUUUAAUGGUUAGGUUGCUAAAUGGCAUGUACAGUGGUAAAAAUGAUAGUCAUGCUUGAAAUAUAGGUUACAUGCAUGGUUGAUUUGGUUCUUUCCAUUAUCAUUUGGAUACAAGAUACUCAAAAUGAGUAGUUAUGCAUAUAUUGAUCUAAGGUAAGUGAAAUUGUCAUGGUUAAAUAAGUAAAUGGGGAAAUUAAACUUGAAUGAAUGACAUGGAUUGUAUGUUAACUUAAAUAGUUAAUUUAAAAUUGUUACAAGUUCAUUUUGGCAUGUUUUAUUAGAUUUGGCAUAAGUGAAAUGGUCAAUUGAAUGUUGGUAACAAUAUGUUUUGGUUGAAAGCAUGUAAUUUAGGUAUCAAAAUGAGCUAAGUGGCCAAAAAUAGGGGCAACGCCGUAACCUCGAACUCUUAAAGUCACAACGUCAUCAUCUUAGAAAGUGACGUCGCAAUGAGCAUAUGUGUGUGAUCACGACAUGACAUACUGAGAUGACCAUGUCAUGAAAAGGAAAUGAUGAAGUCGUGACGCUGGUCUAGGAAAUUUUAAAAACUUCACAAUUUGGUCAUUGUUCAAAUAAGAAUCGUAUAAGAGUAUUUAUAAGCCCGUGUAAGUCCCAAAAUUGAUUGUGUAUCAUAUCAUAUGCAUGUUUUUACUUGAAUUAACCUUGUCUCUAGUCUGUAGGCUUCUUAAAUAAAUAUGGGUAUUGUAAGUCAUAAAAUGCCUGCUAGUCUAAAGGAUAGUGGCGUGUGGAGUGUUCCUUGGGGUCUGGGGUUCGAGGCUUGGCGACGCAAAAGAGUAUUUUAUUUUGCUACUAAUGCUGGGGAAGUGUUGUAGUUGGACUGAAAUUGGCUGAAUUCUGGGAACUUGUUGGAGGGAAUUUCAACUGGUGGGUAUGUGGUUAGGUGGGAUAAAGUUGAGUGAUCUUAGGAGUGAUAUGGGGAGAGAAUUUAGAAGAUUUGAAGGGAGUGGAAAAGGGUGUGCUGAUUUGGGACUCUCACUCCUUGCAAUUUUUAGUUUUGAGCAGUCACUAGGGGUUGGUCAUUCUUUUUGGUUUUUUACCUUCUUGGUGCCAAAUUUGUUCUGGUUUUUCCCUCUUUUUCGGUUGCUUUUUCCCCCUCCUGUAUCGUUUCUCCCUUUUUGGUUUGUUUCUUGUUUGUUGCUGAAUUUUACCUUGACCAUUCGAGUAUUUUUCAUUUCAAGUAUAUUUCGGCUUUUCUUAUCUUUGUUGUGCCAUCUUGAUCGAUUUCUUUUCUCCCUUACUCAUUUAGCAACCGAUCUCUCUCUCAUGCUCUCUUUUUAUUCUUGGCCGAAUUCACAACUCAUCUCUCUCAAAGUCUUCAGCAUUUAACUCUUGAUUUUUAAUCAAUUCCCCUUAUUUACUUUUCUCUCCCUCUCUUCUUUUUGACUCAACUCUGUCCUCUCUUCACCUUGUAUUUGACCAAAUACUUGGUCUCGCCUCUCACUCAAUCAUUUUCUUGGGCCGAACACUGGUAGGUAAGCCUCCGCCUCUUUUCUUUUUCCUUUCGGUUUCACUGUUUUGAGCAUCAUCUCCUUCUUCUUCUCAUCUUGAUCAUUACCCCUAUGUACUGUUUUAGAUCAAUCCUCCUUUUCGAUUUUUUGUACACUACACCUCUUUUCAACAGUCUACUCUGUCGUUGUGGAGAUUGUGUUAUACUCCAAUUAUGGAUUUAUUAUUAAGGUGCAACUUUUGUGUAGGCGGUGAUCGAAAUUGAUUGGCACGCCUCCUAGAAACCAAGGGUGCCUUACGACUGAUUUCAGGUAAGGGAAUUGUGUCAAUUUGGGAACUCCGUUAGGCUCCAUUUGGAAACAUAAGUUAAGUAACUGAUUAAAUGUUAUUUCAGGACAAUAGUAUUCGGAGCAUCGACUAACAUCAAAUCAUAUCAAGUGUGUAACCACACUGCUAUAAACGUAGAUCGGCAAAAGCCAGAAAAGUAUGAUUGUAGACGCUACACGAGCGUGCGCUCGCUCGUGUGGUAACCUGAAUAGAUAAAACGUAGGCAUUUGACUGAAGAGGCUACCAUGAGCGAUUUGAUGGGUUUAGGUCGUUUUGGGCCACGUUGGGCCGAAAUGGACCAAGUGGGCCCCACGGGCUCGUGGGCCUCAUACAGGUAAACCACACGGAUGUGUGGAGAUUAUUGGGCCAGGCUGUGUGGUUUACACGGCCAUGGCCAUUGUUGGGCUUUGUGGGCCACACGAGCGUAUAGGCCUACAUGGGUCGUGUUAUGGGCUUUGGGCCUAUUUUCACUGUUUGACCGUUAAGAUUGCAUGGCUCGCCCGAGACAACUAUGAACCUACUGUUGGGUUGGUAAGUACACUUAGACCUCAUGCUGAUGAAAUGACGAUUAUACCCCUAUGAGGUAUAAUGACUGACAUACCCCUAUGACAUGUAUGACUGUAUUUGAGCAUGACAUUUUUGCAUACACAUAUGAUAUUAUGACAUGACAUGUUGCAUGGGGGUGGGUUUGAUAUAUUUGGAGGAAGCAUACUGUACUAGCAGCUCUAAUGCAAAUAAUGUUUAGUGCCACAACUGAUGCUAUAUUCUGGAGUGUAAGGAUGGGUGGGUCGAUUUAAUCCCCACAUGGAGUGUAGGGCAGGACGGAGUGGAUUGUAGAGGAUGGAUGGGUAGGACUUCUGAUUCCAUUUUUGUUACUGUUACUGAAUUGGGCUAAGGCCCACACUGUUACUGAUACUAUAUUAGGCUAAGGCCCUAACUUAUACUGGACUGUCACUAAAACGGGCUUAGGCCCAAACUGUUUCUACCUACUGUUUGACUGACUAUUGUUAAAGGUUUACACACUGAGUUUACUUAAACUCACCCUUCUGCUUUUCUAAGCAAGUAACCCUUACGCGGAUCCGUGCUGCGAGAGACUCGACGGUGGCCACACAACCGUUUUUUAUUCCUUUUAAACUUUUAAUUUAUAAGUAAUUUAAUUUGGGUUUUUGUUUUAUAAUAAGGCCUUUUUAAGUUUUUAUUUUGAUUUUGGGAUUUAAUUACUUUGAAUCAUAUCUGUUAGAGGUAGGUUGUGGUUUUACAAAGAUAUAAAUGCUUUUCAACACACCACGCUAUUGCAACACAGUUUUAAAAGCUUCGACAACAACCAUUGUUUUUAAAAAUGCAAUAACAAUCUAAUAUGAUUAACACUUUGCUAAACCAACACGAGUUUUAACAAGGAGCAAGUUAUUCUAAAGUUUUCAUAAAGAUUACAAUGAGGUUUUAUUAUAGAACGGAUUUUUCAACGGAACUAUGUUCUACGAAAUACACUUGAAUGUGACAUCGCAGAUUCGGCCAUAACGUUUAGGCCGGGUUUGUGGUGUUACAAGGUGCAGCCAAGGUAUUGAUGCCUCCUUAGUAUGUAUCAAAAUCUAACAUGUAGGGCCUCUUUUUAACCUUGAGAUUAAUGUUUCCCAAUGGCUUUAAAUCAACUACAAUGGCUAUAAACAACUAUAAAUUAGUUCAUUGAUAUAAAUAAAAGUCAAAUACAUUUCAAGAGUUGAGAAAGACAUACUCAAGCAUUGAAAGUAAGAGAAUUCACUUCAAAUAUCCCUUUUAUUAUAUUCUCUUGUACGUAGUCUCUUUAGUAAUUUCUUGUGUCAUUCUUAUUUUUCUUGUUGAGAGUACUUAAACUUUGUAAGCAAGCACUUUUGAGAGGUUAUCUUGUUUACUUCAUUUUUCACCAAUUGUAAUUGGAAGGGUUACUAGUUUAGUCACAAAAACGAGAGAUUACUAGUUUAACCCUAGUAAAAGUUAAAGGGUCUAAUUUAGUUGCAAAAACCUAGGGAGGGGAGUUUUAACUUAUCCUUUCACAAGUUAAAGAUUAUAAAUGUAACACGUUAUCCUAAGAAGUACCCGUUAAAGUCUAAUAAUUAAAAAAUGUUAUAAAUACAUUAAAUAGAUGUCUAUAUCCCCUUUAAACAUAUUAAAGUAAUUAGAUAAAACUCUUUACUUUAUUUAAUAUCAUGAGAUGAUUAAAUGGAGUAAUUAAGAAAACUUAAUUCACAUUUAUUGAUUGAAUGUAAUACAUUUAUUAAUUGAAUGUAAAGGAGUUUAUAAAUAGCACCUUGUAAGUGAAAAUUAAACAAUGAAAAUUCUCCCGUAUUUUUCAUCCACUUUUUACUUAUUAUUAUUGUUUUAUUAAUUUUUCUAUAACACGUUAUCAGCACGAGCUUCUACGAGUUCAUAAUAAAGUUCACAUCAUUUCGACUUUAUAUAAUUUGCCUAUAUAACUCCCGCUAAACUAUAUACGGUAUACAUAUUUUCUUAAUUCUUUUAUUUUAUUUUCUAGAUGAAAUAUUGAUUUGGGUAACAUUUGCACAUUUAUUUUUGCAACUAAAAUCUAAUAAUGAUAAUUAUAUCUACAUUUUUUUUAUUAAAAGAAAUUUCAGUUAAUGUAAUUUGUGUUAAGUUAUUAUUAUGACUAUUCCUCUCUAUGUCAAUAUUUGACUUACAUAUUAUUAUUUAGCAAAUUUGAUAUAUAUAAUUGAAUUAUUUUACGAUUGAGAAUGCUUAUUAUUUUACUAAUAUUUUUUUUUAUUUUGAUUUAAGUGAUUAUAAUGUCAAAUCUUGCCAAACUUGAAUUUGCGACCUUAGACAUAUCAGGUAAGAAUUAUUUGUCAUGGGUGUUAGAUGCAGAUAUUCACCUAGAGGCUAAAGAUCUAGGAAAUACUAUAUUAGUAGAUAAAGAAGCAUCUAAUCAAGACAAGGCAAAAGCAAUGAUUUUCAUCAAUCAGCAUCUAUAUGAAGGAUUAAAAGUGGAAUAUCUCACUGUGAAUGUCCCUCUUGAAUUGUGGAAAAUUUUGAAAGAACGAUUUGACCAUCAAAAAACAAUGAUACUCCCUAAACCUCAUUAUGAUUGGAUGCACUUACCGUUGCAAUAUUUUAAAACUGUAAGUGAAUGCAAUUCAGAACUUUUCAAAAUUAAUCUCAACUAAAUUAUGUGGAGAAAACAUAACUGAUGAGGACUUGUUAGAGAAAAAUUUUCAACUUUUCCUGCUACUAAUGUGCUCCUGCAGCAGCAAUACCGUGAAAAAGAUUUUAAAAGCUAUUCUAAAUUGAUUUCAUGCAUUUUAUUGGUUGAACAAAAUAAUGAGCUAUUGAUGAAAAAUUAUGGAAUUCGUCCACUAGUUCUGUAACAUUCCCUAAAGUGAAUUUAGCAGUACACAAUAAUUAUGAAAAUAGAAAAUAUAGAGGUCACGACCAUGGUCGUGGACGUAGUGGGGGACAUGAUCGAGGACGUAUUAGUAAUCGUAAUCAUGGUGGUCAUAACAAUGAUACUUUUAACCACCAGAAAAAGAAUAAAAAUGAAAGACAAGAAAGAAGUGGUUAAAAUAAUCCUUCAAAGAUUGUUGAGAAUAUAUGCUACUAUGUGGUAUGAAAGGGCAUUGGUCAUGUACCUGUCAUACAUUUGAGCAUUUAGUGAAACUUUAUCAAGUAUCCAUUAAAAAGAAGGGAAAGCAUAUGGAGACAAAUUUUAUAUUCCAAAGUGAUGAAAUGGAGGUACAAGAUGAAGAUAUUCACUAUAAUACUAAAAUUGACCAUGCCUACAAUGGUGAUAAAUUUAAUGACCUUAUUAAUAUAACUCACCUAGAUGUGGCAGAUUUUUUUGAGAAUCAUUAGAAAAAUUGAUGUUAUUUUGACAUUUUUAUGUUGUUUUAAGUAUGUUUUAUUUUCUUUCAUAAAGAAUAAUUUAUAUAUUUAAUAAAUAUUUGUAAUAUUUCUCAUAUUUUGUUUGUUUUUAUGAAGAAUAUGAAUAUUCAACAAAAUUUUGAUGGAUCUAAAAUCAAUGGAGACAUGUGUCUUGCAGAUAGUGCUACAACACAUACGAUAUUCAAUGAUAAAAAAUAUUUUUCUCAUUUAACAAUGAGUAAUGCUCAUGUUAAUACAAUAUCAGGUAGUUCAAAACUUAUUGAAGGCUCUGGAAGAGCUAUUAUAUUAUUACCUAAAGGUACAAAAUUUGUCAUUGAUGAUGCUUUAUAUUCCACUAAGUCUCAAAGAAAUUUAUUAAGUUUUAAAGAUAUUCGUCAUAAUGGAUAUCAUAUUGAGACUAUAAAUGAAAAAAAUAUUGAAUAUCUAUAUGUUACAAAUGUUGAAUGUGGAAAGAAAUAUGUUUUGGAAAGGCUACCUAAUUUUUCAUCAGUUUUAUAUGAUACACAUACUAGUGCAAUUGAGUCACAUGUUACUACAAACCAAAAGUUUGUAGAUGUAACACACCAAACCCAACCCAGACGUUAUGGUCGGAUCUAACGCAUCACAUUGAAGUGCUUUAGCGAAAACCUUGUUUUCAUUGAAAACCCUUCCUUGAAAAAAAAUAUAUGAAACCUUAAUAAACUUAUUAAACUCUCUUUUCAAUCACAAAAAACUUAUAACAUAUGAUUUUAUGAAAACCUAUAAAAACCUGUCAUUUUGAAAUUUAAUUACGGAAACGUAGUAUAUAAAAAACUAAGGUUUAGAAAAUCCAUGUUCAACUUCUCAUAAUUACAACGCAUAAAAUAGUAAUCCAAAUAGUAACAAAAAGGAAGCCUUAUUACAUUCUGGUCCAAAAAAUACUUAAUAACAUAUAGAACUUAUAUGCUUUUAAAAGAGAAACAAGUCCAAGUUGUCUUGCUAGCUGGCCACCGGGAGUCCCUCCAAACAUUGAACCUUCUACUAAGCAUCACCUGAAAAUAAAAUAAAAGAGGGGGUGAGUUUUCAUAAACCCAGUGUGUACAACCCUUGAUGAGUAACAAUCAUUCAAUAUUCACCAUACAUCAAACAUGCAAUGCAAUGCAGUACAAUCCCAUCCCAAUACUCCAUCCGCUACACACCAGCUCCGUCCCUCGAUAAACAUCAUAUGGGGAUAUAAAUAUCGACCCACCCAACCAAUACACAUCCAUGAUAGCCCGAUUGCGGAACUACCUUCAUUUAUACAUUGGGCUUAAAAGCCGUCGGGGGAUCCACGAUUGUCAAGCAACCAUGCGAUCCUCAUAUACUUCCUCCAUUCCAUAUUUCCCAAUCAAUAUGCAACCUAAGCAGAAUAUCAUAUGUAUGCAGCAGAUAUGCAUGUCAUAUCCAUAAAACUUGCAUUCAACACAUAGGGGUAUUUUGGUCAUCUUUGCCUUUAGGGGCAUUUCGAUAAUUUUCCUAUUAUUAUGGUUUUCACUUGCCUUGGCCCGUUAACAAAUCCUAUGAGCUCAGAUGAAUGAACACUAUGCACCAGGAAGGAUUUCAGAGAAGAAGAGGUGAGUCAUUAAGACCGCUUAAGUACCAAGCUCUCCCUAGAUCCAAUCCUAAACAUACAUAUACCCAUUGCCACACAUUAACCCUAUGACUUGUCCACGGUCGCAUUAAAUUAAUUAAUUUUUAUGUAGUCAUCAUAUACUAGACCCAAAUCCCCUUACAAAGGCCAGACAAAUUCACAUACCUGUAUAUGCCCCACUAGACCCAAUUAUAUUCACAUGGCCCAUUAGGCCCAAAUCACAAUUAUAUGGCCCUUUAGGCCCAAAUCACAUUUAUGUGGCCCAUUAGGCCCAAAUCACAUUAUAUUCAUGCUUACAUACGAAUUUCUAUCACAUAGCAUCAAUGAUCAAUUUUUGGCCUAUUAUGAGCCCAACAGCCCAUCGAACUCAUUAAGCCUAUUCUGGCCCGGUUGGCCAAUUCACAGCCCAAGUCCAUAGAGUCGCCCAUGGGCCUCAGAUAACCUAUCGAUUUUCUCGUCACUAGUGUUCGUGCACUCGUAAGACUACCGUAGCCAAACUUUUUGCUUUUCGACAUUUCGGCUUUUCAACAUUUCGGCUUUUACCGAUCUACUUGUGUGUGCAGUGUAUGUACACACCUGGUAAGCAAGCGUGUUGCGAUUCCCUUAGUCACCAACCUACAAACGAUAUCACCCUUCAAUUAAUCUUAUGCUUAAUACAUAUUUUACCCAAAAAUCAAAACCUCACCUUAACCUUACCUUGAACACCAAUCCCUAAUAGCUUUUCCUUGAUCACGUACUCCCUAGAUCAAAACCGCAAAACACCUAUGGAGUAAUUCGGAAGAGAGAUAAAAUCUGAGAUCCGAUACUAAUUCCCCCAAAAGAGUAAUAGGCCCAAGGGAGAUUCGGCUUUUUAGCUUUCAAACUAAUAUGGUGAAUAAGGUUUAUUUGGCACAAAUUAAAGAAGAAGGGUAGAAGAAGGAAUCGGCUAACCCAAAGGGUAAAUCAAAAGAAAUCUGAGGAGAGAAAGAAUGGAAAAAGAAUCGGCUAGCAAAGAUGGAAAAGCCAAUCGACAUUAAAAAAAUGAAGAAUUUGGCAUUAGCCUAGGAUCCCAAACUCAGCACAUAUUUAUAGCCUCUAGCCAAAUUGCCUGACCCUCAAUUCCCAAUUCAGCUUCAUCACUUCCCCCUUCUCAUCUCCUCCUUUUUCUCCCUGAUAACUCCUCAAUCUAUUUUCUAAAUUUUCUCUUCUGAACACUCCCCUUAGAGUCCAUCUUCACGCCACUUCCAACCUUUUAGAAGGCCAAAAUUAAACUCCUAAAAAAUUACUAAGCUAAGAUUCAAACCUCGGAUCUCCUUGCUAGCCACUAAUGCCACCUCCCUACACCCUAAGUGGCGUCACUUAGCCACUCCUCCACAAGGCUUUUUUGAUGCCAUUUUCCCCUAUCUUUAUUUAAAAGCUCAUCUACUCCCAACCCAGAUUCUUUUAAUAAUUAAAUUAAAAUUCCUCCACCAUAAAACUCAACCCAGAACUUCUCUAACAGACCUAGACACUUCAAAUUCCUUAAAAUCUUAAAGCCAACAAGUCAUUUGUCAUUUUCUUGUUCAUUUAAAAAAUUUAUGAAACCCAAAGGCCAAAUCCCAAUUCACCUAGGCCCAAAAUUCGGGGCGUUACAGUAGCACCACACACUUUUACUAUUUGGACUGAUCGAUUAGGCCAUCCCGAAUCUAUUAAGAUACGAAGAAUCAUCGAGAAUUCAAUUGGACACCCACUAAAGAACCAAAAGAUUCUUGAAUUCAAAGAUUUAUCUUGUGUUGCUUGUUCUCAAGGAAAAUUGAUUAUUAGACCAUCACCAGCUAAAGUUAGGAUUGAAAUCUCCCGCAUUUCUGGAACGUAUUCAAGGUGAUAUAUGUGGGCACAUUCAUCCACCAUGUGGAUCAUUCAGAUAUUUUAUGGUAUUAAUAAAUGCAUCUAGUAGGUGGUCACAUGUGUGUUUAUUAUCGACUCGCAACCCAACAUUUGAGAGACUGCUUGCUCAAAUAAUUCGAUUAAGAACACAAUUUCCAGAUUAUGCAAUCAAAACUAUUCGUCUUGAUAAUGUUGGUGAGUUUACAUCCCAAGCUUUUAAUGAUUAUUGUAUGUCAACUUGGAUAAAAGUUGAACAUCCUAUAGCUCAUGUUCAUACACAAAACGGUUUAGCUGAAUCGUUUAUCAAACGCCUCUAACUAAUAGCUCAGCCAUUGCUUAUGAGAACAAAACUCCCUGUUAUAGCUUGGGGAUAUGCUAUUUUGCAUGUAGCAGCACUUUUGUGCUUAAUGCUAACAAACUAUAAUAAGUACUCCCCAUUACAAUUGGGUUUUGGUCAGGAGCCAAAUAUUUGCCAUCUUAGAAUUUUUGGAUGUACAGUAUGUGUUCCAAUUGCUCCACCACAAUGCACAAUGGGUCUUCAAAAGAGGUUGGGAAUAUAUGUUGGUUAUGAAUCUCCUUCUAUAUUUAAAUAUGUUGAACCAUUAACCAGAGAUUUAUUUACUGCUCGAUUUAUUGAUUGUCAUUUUGAUGGAACAACAUUCCCAACAUUAGGGGACAAUUACAUGGAAUGGAUCAUCAUUAUCUCAAUUAGAUCCUUGUACAAGUAAUGUGAACAAGAAUUUCAAAGAAUAAUACAUUUGCAAAACAUCGCUAAUCAACUGCCAGAUUCAUUUACUAACCUAAAGAGAAUUACCAAAUGUCACAUACCAGAUGAAAAUGCUCCAAUGCAAAUUGAUAUCCCAAUAGGGAAAAUUGUAGUGCAAAAAGAAAGUAAUCCACGCCUAAAGCAGGAAGGCCAAUCGGUUCCAAAGAUAAAAAUCCUUAUAAAAGGAAAAGAGCAAUUAUUCAAGAUGGUAAUAUUGUAGAGGCAAGUGCCCAAGAUGAGACCAAAGAUAUAACUAAUCAAAAAAUCUCAUAAAAUGUUCAAGUACUUGAAAAUGGUGAUAACAAAGAAAUCUCAAUAAGUUAUGAAAAAAUGGUGAUAACAAAUAAAUCUCAAUAAGUUAUGUUACUUCAGGAAAAAGAUGAAACAGAAAAAAUAUAGUUGUCGACAACAAUUUUGCUUAUAAUGUUGCUAUUGAAAUAGCAAAAGAAAAUGAGGAUCUUGAGCCUAUAUCUAUUGAGGAAUGUAGAUAUAGAAAAUAUUGGCCAAAAUAGAAAGACGCAAUUCAAGCAGAAUUAAAUUCACUUUCUAAAUGUGAGGUUUUUGGACCUAUAGUUCAAACACCUAAAUAUGUAAAGCCGGUAGGAUAUAAAUGGAUAUUUGAGCGAAAACAAAAUGAUAAAAAUGAAGUCGUAACAUAUAAAGCACGACUUGUAGCACAAGGAUUUUCAUAAAUGCCCGGCAUUAAUUAUGAAGAAACAUAUUCUCCUAUGGUGGCUACAAUCACGUUUAGGUACCUUAUUAGUUUGGCAAUACGUGAAAAACUUGACAUGCGUCUAAUGAAUGUUGUUACAGCCUAUUUGUAUGGUACAUUUAUAGCGAAAUUUAUAUGAAAAUCCCAGAAGGAUUUAAAAUCCCUAAAAGAUAUAGAGUUUCCAAGGAAAAUUGUUCAAUCAAAUUAAAGAAAAAGUUUAUACGGAUUAAAAUAUUCUGGACAUAUGUGGUACAAUCGUCUUAGUGAAUAUUCGUUAAAAGAAGGUUAUAAAAACAAUCCAAUCUAUCCAUGUGUUGUUAUAAAAAGGUAUGGAUCAAACUUUGUGAUAAUUGCUAUUUAUUUUGAUGAUCUAAAUAUUAUUGGAACUCUUGAAGAGCUUCAAAAUGCAGUAAAUUAUUUAAAGAAAGAAUUUGAGAUGAAAAAUCUUGAAAAAACAAAGUUUUGUCUUGGCCUGCAUAUCAAGCAUGUAAAAGAUGGAAUUCGUGUCCAUCAGUCAACUUAUACGAAAAAGAUCUUAAAGAAAUUUUAUAUGGAUAAAGCACAUCCAUUGAGUACCCCAAUGGUUGUACGAUCGUUAGAUGUGAAUAAAGAUCAAUUUCGCCAUUGUGAGAAUGAUGAAGACUUUCUUGGUCCUGAAGUACCAUAUCUAAGUGUCAUAGGAGCAUUGAUGUAUCUUGCAAACAACACAAAACCUGAUAUAUCUUUUGUUGUAAACUUGUUAGCAAGAUUUAGUUCUUCUCCAACACAAAAACAUUGGAAAGGAAUUAAACAUGUAUUUAGAUAUCUCAAAUGGACCAUUGAUAUAGGGUUAUUUUAUUCAAAUGAUUCAAAAAUCUCUAUUAGUUGGUUAUGCUGAUGCCGAAUAUUUAUCGAAUCCACAUAAAGGUCGAUCUCAAACGGGAUAUUUAUUUACAUGUGGAGGUACUGCCAUAUCAUGGCGUUCGACAAAGCAGAUAUUAGCUACUACCUCUUUAAAUCAUGCUGAAAUAAUUGCAAUGCAUGAGGCAAGCCGAGAGUGUGUUGGGCUAAGGUUAUUAACGUAACAUAUCCAGAAGAUACGUAAUUUGCCUUUAUAGGAAAAUAUGUCAACUAUCUUAUACGAAGAUAAUGCAGCACGUAUAGCUCAGUUAAAAGGUGGUUAUAUCUAAGGUGACAAAACGAAACAUAUGUCACCAAAAUUAUUCUUCACUCAUGAUCUUGAGAAUAAAUGUGUAACAGCCAGAUUUUGGGCUUAGUCAGAAUAGUGGUUUCGAGACCACAAAUAUGAAGUCAAGAAAUUAAUUUUAUUAUUAUUUUGGUGUUAUAACAUGAUUAUAUUAGUGUAUGAAAAAUUUGGUGAGGUAAUUUUAGCGUUUGUGAGCUUAAUUUCGAAAAAGGACUAAAUCGCAUAAGGGGUAAAAGUUCUAUUUUACUUGAUAGAUGUACCACAUAGCUAGAGAACCAAAAUUGGAGGGUCUUUAAAGUGCAAUUAGACCCUUUAGAAGCUGACGGCCGGCCAUGGGGGAUAAGAAAAUCAAAUGGUCAAAGGAGUUGGUGACUUAAUGUAUGAUAAAAUAAUACCCUAGAGACUAGCCUUCAUCUUUUUCAUUCUUCCUUUCUCCUCCACCGAAAUUUUCAGCCAUUCCAAGGGUUUUGGAAGCUUGAAAUUUCAGCCACUUAUAUCUCUCUCAAAUAAGUAAUUUAGAUGCUUAUUUUUGAUAAUUUUGGUAAUUUUGGAACCCUUAUGGCAUAAGCUAGCUAAUGGGGGGAACCAUUUUACAAAAUGGUUGAUAGUCUAGGGAUUUUCCAUGAAAGGAUUUAUGAUGUUUGUUGAGUUUUUAUGGAAGAAAAUGAAUCUUAGUUGUGUAGUAAACAACUUUUGUGAAAGGGCUUCUCAUGAAAACCCUAAUAGGACCAUUUUGUAAAGUUCAUAAAAUGGAUGGUAAUUUUGUGAAACAAUGGGAAUUUUGGGUCACUAUAAGAAUGAAAAGGGUUCGGCUAGGCUUAAUAUUUGAAAAAAUUUGAUAAAAAUUGAUUUUCAAGCCUAGGGGUAAAAUGGUCAUUUUGUGAAAGUCUAAGGGCAAAAUGGUCAUUCUACCAAAAAUGUGAAUUUAUGAUUGUUUAAAUUUAUUUAGAUGUUAAAUGAGUAAAUUUUUAUUAUUUUAGAUCAAGAAACACAAAAACCAAACUUGGACCGGGGGAAGGCCAAGCAAGUAGAGUAAAUCGUCUAGUCACCUACAUUUUGCAAUCCGAGGUAAGUUGUAUGUUAAUAAUGCAACUAUAUUGUUAUGAUGUGUAAUUGAAUUGAUAUUUCAUAAAUUGUUUUGAUUGUGAAUAUGAGUAUGCAUGUUGAGAAAUUAAUGUAAUAAAGACUCCCGGUUGAACAUUAGGAAUAGAUUUGGAUAUUCAUACCUGACAUUGGGUUAUAUGUAUGCUAGUGUAAGACAUGCCAGGGACAUGCAUCGAACACAUUAUGAGAGCCAGUUUAAGACAUGUCUGGGACAUGCAUCGGCAUUGAGACGAGAGCUAAUGUAAGACAUGCCUGGGGCAUGCAUCAGCCUCAAGAUAUACAAGCUAGUGUAAGACUUGUCUGGGACAUGGCAUCAGCUUGUUGAGUGUAAGUGUAAGACCUGUCUAGGACAUGGCAUCAACACCGAUAGAUAAGAGCCAGUGUAAGACCUGUCUGGGACACGGCAUCAGCCUCGAUGUAUGAAAGUCAGUGUCAAACCUGUCUGGGACAUGGCAUCGACUUUGAUGUGCUAGCCAGUGUAAGACUAUGUCUGGGACAUGGCGUCAGCAUUUUAUCCCAUGUUGGGGCUAUUGAAUAUCAUGUAGUAUUCCAAAUGGUUCAACAGGAGAUUUAUGGUUUAUAUCGAAAUGAGAGAACUUAUGACCAUGUAGUAAGUGGUACAGGUACCUAAAUGAGAAUUACGGCAUUCGAGCUUCAUUUACGUUGUAUGUUUAGUAAAGGAGGAAAGUGAGUAAGUUAUGCAUAUGACUACUUGUGUAUUUUACACGAAUUAUGAGAUGUGAAUUCAAACCAAUGUUUUAUGAUUGUUAAGAAAUAAAUAUGAGCAAGUAGUGUUUAUGAAUCCUUACUUUCAUGAGCAAAUCGAGAUAUGUUAGGAGUAUGAUCCCUUAUGGUAGCUUAUAGUUACUCAUUAUUGCAUGCGACUUACUAAGCUUUAUGCUUACCUUUUUUCCUUUCCAUUUUCUUAUAGUGUCGCCAAAGUAGCUCGUAGAUCAUCGCUUUACGUCGAAAAAGCCAGUCACACUAUCCCUGAAGCAAUUGGUAUACCUAGUUUUUUCAUUUUGAUUAUGGGAUGUAUAGGAGCUAGUCUUUUUGUAAUGGUCACAUUGUUUUGGGCCAAAUGAGUGGCUUGUCAUAGCUCUUAAGUCAUUUUGUAUAAUGCCAUGGAUGGUGGCUAAUAUUGGUUAUUGAUAAGUGCAAAUGAUGAUGAUUUCAUAAAUGAGUAAUCGCAUGACUAAUCAAGUUCUUUUUAGAUUGUUAAAGUGUAAUGUUGUUGUAUUAGAUAUCUUGUUGUGGUUGAAUUGGCUUUGUGUUGCCGUGUGAAUUAUUGGUAUGUUUUGCUUUAUAGGUAGGUGUAAGUAAGGGUGGCAAAAAGGCUAGGUAGAUAGCCUAUUUUUGUCCACACGGCUAAAGACACAGACGUGUGCCUAGGCCAUGUGUGACACACAGUCAGCCCCAUGGGCGUGUUGUUCGACCGUGUGUCCCCUGCACCUCGAAUUUGCUAGUCAGUAUGCAUGGUAGUAAACACACGGGCAGAGACACGGUCGUAUGUCUAAGCCGUGUAGAGGACACGGCCUUUGGCCACGGGCAUGUUCCUUGGCCAUGUGCCUCAAAUUAGUUGCUGACGUCAGAAACAGAAUGUCAAGGUUUUUACACACGGGCUGCAACACGAGUGUGUUAUGGCCGUGUGAGGGACACAAGCUGUAGACACGGGCGAGUGCUCGACCGUGUGAAGACCCCUGUAGGUUCGAAUUUAGAAUUUAAUUCACACGGGUGUGGCCCCUUGUGCUUAAGCCGUGUGAACCACACGGACCUUCAGCAUCGCCAGGUCAAAAUGGCCACACGGUCAUGUCAUCUUUCCACAUGGGCGUGUGCCCCUAUCUCAAGUUACAGUCUUUUCAAAGUCUUUAAAGAUGUUCGGUUUAAUCCUGGAUAGUUUCCCAAUGAUGAUUUGGGCCUUGUAGGCCUAUAUUGAGAAUUUUUAGAUUAAGGGCGAAAAGUUUUAAAUUUGAUUUAGUUUUUAUAAUUCGAAAAUGACCGUAUGCAUGUGUUUAAGUCAGGUAAUGCCCCAUGCCCAGUCCAGGCCUCGGACUCGGGUGAGGGGUGUUACAUAAUGUGACAUAGAAGUUCUACAAAUUCGUUCUAGUGAUAAUUUAGCAGAUCUUUUUACCAAAGCAAGGCCAACUUCAUCAUUUAAAAAACUACAAAACAAGAUUGGAAUGUUUCAACUCAAAGACAUAAUGUGAUGUUGCCAUUAGGGGGAGUCUAAAACACGUUGUACUCUUUUCCUUUAACCAAGGUUUUGUGCCACUGGGUUUUUUGGUAAAAAUUUUUAAUGAGACAACUUGUAAUAUGAGAUUAUGUACUCUUUUUCAUUCAUUAGAUUUUUAUCCCACAGGGUUUUUCCUAAUAAAGGCUUUAAUGAGGCACAUUUUAUUUUAAAAGAAAUCCAAGGGGGAGUGUUAUAAAUUCAUUAAAUGGAUGUCUGUAACCUCCUUUAAACAUAUUAAAGUAAUGAGAUAAAACUCUUCACUUUAUUUAUAAUCAAGAGAUGAUUAAAUGGAGUAAUUAAGAAAACUUAAUUCACAUUUAUUGAUUGAAUGUAAUACAUUUAUUAAUUGAAUACAAAUGAGUUUAUAAAUAGCAUCUUAUAAGUGAAAAUUAAACAAUGAAAAUUUUCUCGUAUUUUUCAUGCACAGUUUACUUAUUAUUAUUGUUUUAUUAAUUUUUUUAUAACAAAAAGUCCUUAAUUGAGGUAUACCAAAAUAAGGGAGUAAGCAAUUGAAGCCAAACCAAAUUUAAUUGUAACCAAAGUGUGAUAAAUUAAAUAUAAAUGUAACCAAAUUUAAUUGUAUUGAAAAGCAAAUUGAAACCUAUUUGACGUGAUUGUUAUCGAGUUCGUACAUUGAGUCGAAUUCGAAUAUCCUAGCAUUUGCCUCCUCUUAUUUUAGUUUUUUAAUUGUAUUGAAAAUUUUCAAUUCAAACUAACUGAUUCAAAUUUACAUUUUUGGUAUGCAAACAAAUUUUAACGGAAUGAAUUCAAACAAUUCAAUUUUUUAUUUCAACCCGAAAUCAAUCUUCGAAGUGAAACUUCGUUGGACAAGGACUGAAUUUCAAGUCAAACUGGGAUACUUUCAGCUUUAUUGUAGACCAAUUGCUAGGCUCUUUCACUGAUUGAAUAUACCCCAAAAGGAACGAAUAAUCUCAAAUUAAAGGGUAAAAAAAGGGAUUGACAUUGAUGUGAUAACAUGUGCCUUACAAUUACAACUUUUCAGGAACCCAUUAGAAUAUGUUAAGACAUUAUUCUUUCCUACGUACAAAAUACUCCGAAUCCCUAAAUCACAAUGAUUAAAAUAAAUCACGCUAAGACUACAAUCAUCAUGUUGUAAAUGAAGAGUCAUCCCAUCGUGAACUAUAUAUUAAAAAAAAAAUCCAAAGUUUUCCAUGCUAUCUUAAUUAUAUUACCCACUAUUAUAAUACAAGAAAAGGGUCCAUUUUCAGCCACUUAUACCUUGCAUGAAAUAUCCGUCAGAGAAUUCACUUUCUACGCAUUCUUCAGUCAAUUUACAAGCUUACUCUGCACAAAAACAAGAGCUAGCAUGAGAACCUUCCAUUACCUCCAUUUUCUGAAUGGCCACUAACGUAUCACAAACAUAAAAGAUAAUCCACAUAGUGAAACAAAAAAAAGAGCAAAAUCCAGAAUGAUAUGCUUUACCUUACUUUUUUUGUGUCUGUUAAUGUCAUUACGAUCUUCAUCUCCAUCAUGCUUCCUUUUCUGAAUGUAUAUGAAUUGCAAAAAUUUUAUAUGGAAUUCCAUUUAAAAUCAACUUAAUUUCUAAGGGCAAAUUCAUGCAGGGAAACAGAAGAUCGGCAAAAUUGCUAUCAGUUAUCAUUAAUGGUCAAAGAAAAUGUCGCAAAAGGCAACAAACAUCUAACCUUUUCAUGGUGCUUUUUUAAGUGAUCAGCACCAGAAUCAUAAUGCCCACUUCUAUCCUUCUUCUUUUCCUUGUCUUUAUCUUUACUUCGAUCUUUAUCUUUAUGACGGUGCUUGUGCUUCUUAUGCUCUUUAUCCUUCUCCUUAUCUCUAUCUUUGUGCUUUUUAUGCUUCCUCUCUUUAUCUUUGACCUCACUCUUUGAUUUCCCAGCAAUAGUAGGCAUCCCUUUUUCAGUCUACAAAAAAAAUGAGAAGAAAAUUGGCAAUAAGAAUAGUAAAAACAGUAGAACCAUUACAUUUUACUCGUUAAUUAAACAAUGCCAUAAUGUCUACAGAUGCCAUUUGGCUUAAGAAACUUAAAUAAGGCUAAUCUCAAAGCAGAAAAUUUCUUACCGGUGGCAAUUCAACGGGAGUGGUUUCUCUCAGCUGAAAAGCCUCUUUAAGAAUAUCAAAGUCAAAAGGUUGUAUGCGGAAAUUAGUAUCUCUGUUAUAAGAUGUAUUCUGAUUAAGCUGGUCCAAUUGCAUCCCUUCUCCUUUUCUAAUUUCAGUAUCUCCCGCCACAUUAUGAAGAUAAUGUGUGUCUGCAAUGGACAAAGGAAGAGGUCUCUUGCAGAAGAAGUCAUGGUGAGGCAACAACUUAUAUCGACUUAUAAGAUCGACAACACCACUAAGUUCCCUUGGUCCUAAUUGUUCAUAUAAACAGUUUCUCAUCAAUUAAAAGGACUGAUUUAAAAAAAAAAAAACCAACACCAAAUAACUUUACAUGAAAUAUCGUCACCUGAUUCUCAAUUUUCAGUCAAACAGUUUUAUUAUGAGUUGAAUCAGUGCCUGGUAGUCUAUGGAUUUUCAGUGAGUAAUGCAAAUGCACCAUGCAUCAUGUCCAACUCUUGCAUGUCAUAGAGAGUGCAUGGUGUUAAGAUUUUAUGUAAUUAUUUGGUGAGGUAAGUUAUAUAAAUGAAAUUGUUUUAUUAAUGAAACACUUUAUAUUAUUCCAUGAGGGCAGUUUUAAAGCUAAAAUAUAUAUAAAUAUAUGAUAGUGAUGAGAUGAUAAAAUCAAACUAAACAACCAUCAAGCAUGGCAUUCAAAUAUUUUAUACUGAUGCAACAUAUAAUAGUGCAUGACAGUGCUAUAUCAGAAUGACACUGAAUGAUAACAAAGCAAUAUCCUUAAAAUAUUAUUUUACGGGAAAAAAAUACAUCCAAAACUUUAUUGGUAAAUUUAAAAUAUCUUUAAUUAGCUUUACCAAAUAACUGGCAUACCUCGAGGCAAUGUCUGAGCCACAAAUAUGCACAAAAAGGAAAAGGAACAAGAGAAAGGAAACCAUGAAAGAAACAGAACUAAAGCCCAAGCUAGAUUAAACAAAUGCAUUAUGUCACCGAAAUGCUUUAUGUCCAGUAUAGAUGUUGAACAUAGUGCAAUACUUAUUUAUUAUAACACGAAGAUUUUGACCCUUUUUGCGUGAUUGAAAACAUUAUUUGAAUUUAAAACACUGAAUGAUAAAAAUAAAAUUAUUAAAAAUUGUUUAUUUUUAUAGCAGGUUUACAAACAGCAUAAGAUUUAUUGUUGUCAUCAAAAAUGUCAUUUUUAAUUUUACUUACAAAGCAAGUAAAAAAAAAUAUUAAUCACUCACUCAAUUUCAUUAACUAGGAUUGAAAUAAAUUAAGUUGGCAGUAUCACUUUCUUACACUUCAGAAUCUUCAAUAUAAAAGAGAUAUAGAUGCCUAAAGUAGGAAUGAUGAGAGAAAAACUUGUUAAAACAAACUGUCUGGUUUGGGCAAUCCAAAAAUUGGAUGAAAUCUAGCAAAUGUUCAUUAGGUAUUCAAAGGAAGGGAGAGAAAGAGCCAACAUGGUAAUGGAUCAUUCUAGAAUUUAGCUAAAUUGUCUAUCUUGGUAUAUUUUUUUCUUUAUGUUUAAGGUUUUAUUUUAGUUAUUGGUUUGUAUGUUUUCAUUUAUCAAGGAGCCAAGUAACUAGUAUGUCAUCACUCAAUAAGUUUGAAUCGAGUAUAUCAAGGGCUCAGAUGAAAAGCUGCAGUAUAAAUAGUAUUUUAGACACAUUAACAACCCAAUUACACUUGGAUAUUAUGAUAACAGACCGACAACCCUGAACCCUAGUUCCAUUGUACCAGAUUUGCUUUUACAUCAAUUUAAGACUCUGCUUUGGUUUUCGUUUACUGUUUUGGUUUCCUAUAUCUUGUUUCUAUUCCACGCUACGUAAUAACAAUACAGCUGACACAUGCACAAUUAAGUGUUAGCACCACAAAGGAUAGUUUUAACCUACAAAAGUUGAGUUCAACAUGGUCAGAUAUGACCAACUACAACACCCAAGAUUCUUAAUUCCUUCGCUUUGCUCUGAUUUCCAGAUUCCUCAUUCAGGUCUAACAGAGGAUAACUGUUAAUACUUUCUUAACAUGCGCUUCUGAUUAGUAAUAUGGUAGGUUAAACUUAGAAGUAAAAAAGGUACAAUAAUCAAGAUAUGAAUGAUACAACACAAAAGAGUGAUAUAAUAUCGAAAACCUGAUAGCAGAUCCAAAGCCUAUCUCAACCAAACAAAUGAAAUGAAAACUUCAAAAUACAGUAAUAACCAAGAUUAAAAAUUUAUAGUACCUCCUCCAAAUUUAUUGCCUCCAGCAUCCAUGAGUUAAUGGUUCAUGAAACAUGGAAUGUCACCAACUGCAAUUUCCUAGCCAAAGUCACAAAAAUCCAUGAAAAUCAUGUAAAACAUCUGUACAGGUAAAAAUUGAUUCAAGUAGAACUUUGGUAAGUUAAACACAAAAUUGUCACAUGAUGUAGAGGUACCAACACUUAUAUUUUCAAACCAAAACUACAUACAACUUACAAGCCUAUAAUGAGCACAUUUUCUUUUUCAAUUUGUUCCCCUUUAUAGCAUGUGAGUGGAACUAGCACCUUACAAUUUUAAGUUCUAUGGCCAGCUAUCACAUCAAAUAUACGACUUUUCCAAUUUAGCAAAUGAUUUCUUUACCAUCAUAUUUCUUACAACUUUUUUUCUUUACAUUCAAAAUAAUAAUAUUAGCACCAAACAAUAAAAUGAUUUUGUUACAACAUAUAUGUCACCCUCAAUCGUCAUUUUCUUCAAUCAUUACUGAUCUAGGGGAACCCAUUGAGGAGAAGAACACACAGCCAAAGUUUGGUUCAAAAUGUGACAAGUAGGUUAAAGACCUCUGGAUUCAUAUAAAGCUUGCAAGAUGCCUGGAUCAAGAUUACUUGCUUCAAAUUCAGUGUUGACAAGGACACAAGGUGCACUCUUAGCGCUAAGACCCUAUAUCGCCUAAAGCUCAAGAUGCAAAAAAGUGGUUGUCUGAGCUAAAUAAGGUGCAUAUACAUAUAUCAAAAAGAACUGCAUAUGAUAUGUAAAAUGCAAUGUGAGACAUUGAUUAACAUAGUUCAUUGAAUAAACUCAAAAGGUUGUUUUAAGCUUUUUAACAGAAAACUAGCGACUUCUGAAGCAAGAAAAGAGAUCCAUAGCCCCUUUCACCCUCUUCAAAUGUCAAUAAUUUAAUAGUUGACAUAUUGCACAGUUGAGCAAAUUAUAUGUCUAGUAAAACUGAUAAAAGCCAACUUGGUAACCAGAUUACCCUUUCAUUUCAGAACAAAAAGAAAAAUGGUUGCUGAACCUGGAUUAAUUAUUUAGGUUAAUAGCAAAGCACCUAGAGCCACAAGAAAGAAAUCUAAACACAGGUUUGAGGGUGGUGGUAGUAGCAUGUAACUAACCCAUUCUUCACCCAAUUGAAAUUUAUAAGAACUUCGUAUUAAUUUCCAAAGCAAGCCAACUACUAGAGUAUUUAAAUUUAAAAAUAAAUACUAAAUUCUAUGUUAAUGGUAAGCUACAAAAGUUUACAAGCAACGCCGUGACGUUUUCAUUGCACUGAAAAUUUGAAAUUAGCUCAUAUGGAAUACUUUAUCUCCACAUAGUUUCAAGUUAUAAAAGGUUUAGUUAGUCAGGGCAUCUCUAGUUUUGCUACUAAAAUUUGCUUUAAACACUAAAAGCGAGAACCUUCACACAUGCUUCUUCGUUUUAUCUAACCGGAUAAUAUUCUACAAGUAGCAAACGCCAAAACCACAUACUCAAAUUACAUUUUUUUUUCAUAAUUUUCUUCUAAUUUUUCUCCGCAGAAUCGUCAAAUUUAAAUGAAUUCCCAAUAAAAUUGAAAAAUAAACAUAGAGGACAGUGUCCGAACAAAUUACUAAUUACAUAAAGAAAAAAAGGAUUAGGGGGAAACCAUCAUAAUUCAUCAUUUAAGAAAAACUUCAAGUAAGAAAAACAAGAAACAUAAAAAGAAACAAUAAAUACCUCAAACAUGGACUCGGGCAAAGUCGCCGAGGAACAUUUUUCAGAUCAAGAGAAAAAGCAAAGCAAAAUAAAAAUAAAAAUUCAAGCUCCUCUCCUCCCCUGAUAAAUUCGGUCCUGACGCUUCAAUGCAAGUAAAAGAAAACCUACGAAAAAAUAUUUUUUUUAAAAAUCAAACAAAAAACAAAAACCGCGCAAAAUUUUGAAAGAAAUAAAAAAUAAAAGAAGGGGAAAAGGUGGAGAAAUUGACCAGUGAAAUAAAAGAGAGCGAAUUGAAGAGGGAGUGAAGCGGGGUAGAAUGUGUAAGAUCUUAUGAAGUUGGAGAGCUUUCAGGAGCAGGCAAUGGAAGCAAUUAAGUCCCUACUUUUUUAGGGUUUGAAAAGGGUCGAACCACCAACACUACACGAGUUUUUUCCUUUCUUUUCCUGUCCAAGGCCUCGGAUCCGUAGCUUCUCCGGCUUAUUUAUUUACUUAUUAUUUUUAUUAUUUUUUGGAGUCACAGAGUCAAAAACCGUCGUAGUGGGAGUUUUAGCUCGUAUUUUCUUUCCCGAUGCACCGGUUUAAUAUGUAUAAAAUUAUUAGUACAUUUAAAAUUUUGAUAAAAUAAUUAAUCAGUAAUUAGAAUCAUAUGAAAUAAACUUGAAGAUUUAAAUUCAAACAUAAAUAAAAAAAUAUAUAGAUAAACAUAAAUAAAUUCAAAUAAAUAAAAUAGGAAGUAUCAAAUUAAAUUAAUAAGGAUUAAAUUGAAAUGAAUGGAGGACUAAAUCGUAAGACUAUCAAAUUAUGGAAAGCCUAAACAAAAUUAACUUAUCACCUAAAACAUAUAUACUUAAGGUAACUAAACUAUGGCAUAAUGACUUAUUUGGUCCUCUAACUUUUAAAAAGAAGUCAUUUUAGCCUCUUUUGGCCAUUAAACUUGUGAUAUUUGUCAAAUCACUCUAAAAUUGAUGAAAAUGUUUACAUUUGUUAACCUUACAGACCAGGCAUACACGAGGAUUGCCACAUGUAUGUUAUGUUAGCAAUUAAUUAAUUUUAAAAUAUAAAAAUUAAAAAAAUAUUAAAAAGUAUAGAAUUAUAAAAAAUUAUUUUUCAAAUUAUUAAAAAACUUAUUAAUUGCUUAUGUGACAUAUACAUAAACUUUUAUGCAGAUGCCACAUUAGCAAAGUUAAGAGACAUUAACUUUUUCAUCCAUUUUGGGAUGAUUCAACAAACAAUGCAAGUUUAAGGGUUAAAAGCAGCAAAAAAUUAAAUGGAAGGCUAAAAUGAUUUUUUUGUAAAGUUGGAGGGCCAAAUAAGUCAUUAUGCCCUAAACUAUUAGUAAAUUUACAUUUUGAUCACUCAUGUUCAAAAAGCUAAAAAAUGGUCAUUGAAUUAUUCAAAAUCAAAAGUUUUCAUUUAAGUCACUAGGAUGUUAAAAUUGGUGUUGUAUGGCCUUUUAUGUUCACACCGCAUUUACCAAUUGAAAGUUUUCCCUUCCCUUCUCUCUACAAUUUAGCUUUUUUCAUGAAACAACUUUAAACGUCAGGAAUCUACAAACCAAAAUCCAAAUAGCUUUUUUCUUCGAUCUUAAACACUGGCCAUCAGAUUGACUUAGAUCAUCAAUAUGUUUUCUAACUCAUCAAUGGGUGCUAAUCCACAGUACCAAUAGUCAAACCGUCACUUAGAGCUUGCUAGUCAGACUUUAAAAAAACAAGUUAACAAUUCAGUGACUUAACUAAUUUUUUUUGAAUAGUUUAGUGACCAUAUAACCUUUUGAAUUUAAAUGAUCAAAAUGUAAACUUACUAAUAGUUUUACCCAAAAAUAUUCUCACCCAUGUGAUUGGUUAGAUUAUGGUGCAAACUUCCCACCCUUUCUAGUGUAAAUUAUUAUAUUAUUUAAUUUUAAAUUCAUUUAAUAAUAUUUCAUUUAGUUAAUUCUUUUAACAUUUAACAAUUUAUUCUUGAUUUUCAAAAAAAAGCAUUUUAUUCUUAUUUUUUCAUUGGCAUAAUUCCAUAAAAUACCCUCAAUGUUUAGGGGGUUUUGGUUUUGUGCCAUUGACUUUUUUUUUAUUUACACUUUCAACGUUAUGAUUUUUUCAGAAAUCAGCCUAAUUUUAACAGUAAGCGUGAGUUAACCAUCAUUCAAGUGCCGGUCAACAAAGUAAGCCUAUGUGACGUCAUAGAUGAUGUCAUCUUUUCUUUUCUUUUCUUUUCUUUUCAUUUUGUUCCAUCUUCUUUUUUCUUCUCCCUUCCUCUCUUCCUAUUACUACUGCAACAAAAAAAAAACUCUUUUUCUCCACCAUUGUUGUUGUUGUAUCCUCCAUUGCUGCCACUUCCACAACCACCCCACCUUUCUUCCACCCGGGUUUCGACCUAGCAUUGCCACCACCUCCACCUCAAAUGGUUCAUUCUAAUUUUUCUUCUUCCACCAGGGUCUUUGUCAGCCAUUAUUUUAUUCUUUCUUGCAUAGUAUCUAGAAAUUAAUGUAUGUUAUUAGGACAAUGAAAUUAUUUUUAAAAAACCUAACAAUUUUACUGGAUAUUAUCAUAGCCAAUCAGAGAUAACAGAAUAGAAAAAAUGAAUAAGCUGACAAUAUAUAUUCGUACUGGUGUUAAUGUCAUUGAACUUCCUUCUAUCCUUCUAAGCUCCCACAAGCUUGAACCUCAACUUUUUCUUUGAAGGUGAGUUUCUUGAGAAAUAUCCAAUCUUGAAAACUUUUUCAUGGCUGGAAAUUAGAUAAUUCAACCCAAAAUCGAAUGCUUUUAACUAAGAAACCUACAAUUAGUAACCAUUUUUUUGGGCGGGAUUUCAAGAUUCAAGAAUCGAAUCCAUGAGUCAAAUCCUAAUGAAGCAAAGUAGCCAAAAUAAUCAUUAAAGGAAUUUAAAAGUGUCAAAUAGCUCUAUUGGAGAGGACUUGAAAUUUAUGAGUUUGAAAACAUAAGUUUCUUUGGGUUAAUGGGUUUCAAAGAUUUAAGCUUUGAGACAGAUUUAUAACUAAAGAAGUUGGAAUCAAAAAGGAAGAAGACGAAGAUGAAGAAGAGAGGUGUGUGGAAAUGGCUUUUCCUUUAAUGCACAGGAAAAUAAACUUGUUAGAUGAAAAUGAAUCAAAACUUUGGGAAGAGGGGGAGCGAGAAGAAGAAAGAAGAUGGAACAAAAUGAAAAAAAAUUAGAUUGAAUCAUUUGGGGUGGAGGUGAUGGCAUUGCUAGGUCAAAACCCAGGUGGAAGAGCGGUGGGGUGGUUGUGAAAGUGGCAGCAGCAGUAGCAGCAAUGGCGGAGAAAAAGAGUAUUUUUUCUUUUUUUUGCAUUGUAGCAGCAAUAGGAAGAGAAGAAGGGAGAAGAAAAACAAAGAUGGAACAAAAUGAAAUAUAUAUAUAUAUAUGACGCAUCUAUGAUGUCACAUAGGCUUACUUCGUUGACCGGCACUUGAUUGAUGGUCAACUCACAUUUACUAUUAAAAUUGGGUUGAUUUUUGAAAAAAUCAUAAUGUUAAGGGUUUAAAUAAAAAAACAAAUGUCAAGGGUACAAAACCAAAAACCCUUAAACAUUAAGGAUAUUUUAUGCAAUUAUGCUUUUUUUCAUUUUACUUCCAUUUUCUACCCGAAAAAAUUUUCAAUACUCUCAUUUACUUCUUCUAGCUGACAUCUCUCAUUCCCAUAUACAAAAUCAUCUACCUUCUCAACUUUCUCCUAUAGCCCCUCACACCAAAACAAAAGCCCUUACCCAUUGUUAAAUCAAACGACAACCUCCAUCUCUCAAAAAAAAAUCUUGAACUAAUGAAAGUUUUUUUAUUCAAACUAAUCAAGAAUUUUAAACAAGGGUUAAAUAUAAAAUUGGUACCCGAACUUGUCCACUUCUCUUAAAUUGAUACUUUUGGUUUUUUUUCUCCUAGAUUGGUACCCAAACUUUUUUUCCUUCCACUAUAUUGAUACCUGAAACCAACGGUGUUAAUUUUUUACUAAUGUGGUAGGGUUGGCUAAUCACAUGUCGCCCUGUGGCAUCCUCUCAUGCCUCAUUUUUCUUUUUCUUUUUCCUUUCUCUUCCCUUUCUUUCAUUUCUUUUCUUAUUUUUCUAGGUCUGGUUCUACAUUUCUUCAUCUUCCUUCUUUCUUUCUUACUCAGUCAAAACCCUCCCAAAAUUUUCCCAAUACAUAAAGAAGCUAGUUCUGUUUAGACUCUUCUCCAUCUUCCUCUUUCAACAUUUGAAACUAGUUGUUUCUCUUUCUCCUGAUGGCCUUUCUCUUCUCUCAUUAAAAUCUAUCGUGGACUAACCUUCAGGCUGGUCAGUUUUCACCGACUGGAAUGAAAAUAAUGAGACGUCGUGUAAUUACUUCAGCAUUUUUUGCAAGACUAUUUUAGGAUUUCUUGACCCGCGUGUCGUUGGAGUCACGCCGUUCCCUAAACAUUUUUGCUUCUCGGAACCACAAUCGCUCGUCAAACAUGAAAAUUUACCGGCGGAAUCUUGGGAACAAUAGGUCCUUCCCCAAAAACGACCUCCCCAUGAUGUCGAGGCAUAAAUCAUUUUGGAUUCACCUCUUCGAAAAGUGAAACCUGUGUUGGAAAUUGUGGAAACAUCAGCGUUUGAGAGAAUUCCAAGUCGUACCAUGUAAUUGCAUUUGUUUAUUAUGGUAAAGUUUGUUCCUUGCACUCCUGUUCACAGUAUAAAGAAAACUAUUAAAAAAAAUUAGUGAAUCCAAAGAUAGUUAGCUAAAAAAAUUGAUGAAACAUCAUUCAAGGUUUCCAGAAUGAAACUACUUGAUAUAAAGGGAUGUGAUAAAAGAAGAGCACGCAUAGCAACAACAAAUGUAAUAUGCGCCAUGAAGAAGAGGAAGUUAAGGGGAUGGCAAAUCUCAACACUCUUCUUCUUGUUCAGAAAUGGUGAGAUUCUUCAAUGGUGAUAUAUAUAGAUAUUUAUGGUUAUUGAGGUUUCGAAAACAAACGUAAAUGAUUGUGGGUCAAACUAGAAAAGUUGCUACUAUGCCUACUCUUACGAAUUUUGAGAUGAGUUGUUGUGUUUGGUUGGGAUUUUAAUUUUAUUUCCUCUCACUUAAUAUUUACAUGUAAAAUUUUGUGAAUAAAUACAAAAAUAGUGAUUUAGAAAUAGAAGGCUCUACAACAAUUUAAGAAAGUGUUCAUUUCAACAUUACAAGAAGUGGACACCUAAAGGAAAAAAAUGACUAACAUCAAUAAUGUAUAAGAAAGUGUUCUUUUUACCAUAUUAGUUUGUCAGCAGAAUAUGCCUGAUGGCCUUUUACGAUUUUGCAAUUUCUAAGACUUCAAUCGUAUGUAAUAUAACAUGCAUAAGAAAAUGAGCUUAAUUAUGGUACAAAAUAAUGAUAUUACAGAUUAUAUUAAUCAAAACUCUCUUCUAUAGUUAAUUGUUUGGCAAGGGUAUGAAGAAAACGGGUGAGGGACUUUCUAGCACUCCUUAUUGUUGCUUCUAUUUUUGCCUUAUCUUCUUCUCUCACAUUUUGGCUUUGUUCUUGACUCGUUUGAAUUUUUCGAACAAGUUUAUGCAAUUCUUGUCAAAGUAACAAAAUUGGCAACAAUGGCAGUUGUACUUGAAAAUAUCAACUAUCAAUGAUGCAAUAUUCUUAUGGCUUGCAUAUUGGUCUAAUGAGCACUGCAACAUAUUCAAUCGUCUUUCUAAUGCCGAAGGUUUAAAUCCCUCUACGUUCGCGUAACACCCCUAACCCAUAUCUGUCGCUGGAAUAGGUUUACAAAGCAUUACUGAAUAAACAUAACCUAAAUCAUUCAUUUAAAAGCAUUUCAAUGAAUAUAGCAUAAACCAAUAUUAUACACGCAUAUUGUCCCUUAUUCGGGCUUUCGAGGCCUUGAAAUCACUUUACAAGUCUUUCGAGACUAAAUCAGGAACAUUUAAACAUUGAAAAAAAGUUAGAAAAAUUCAACUACAGGGGUCACACGGCUGAGACACACGCCCGUGUCUCAGGCUGUGUAACAUUCGAAAUAGGGACACAAGGUCGUAUCCCAGCCCGUGUCCAUGCCCAUGUAACUCUCUGGCUGUGCCAAGUCGUGUAACUCUCGAAAUGGCCUCACACGCCCGUGUGCCAGGCCAUGUGCUAGCUGACUUACUCCCUAUGCACUCCAUAGGUAACACACGGCCGUGUUACCCAACCGUGUGUCUCACACAACCAAGUUACACGCCUAUGUGUCUAGCUUUGUAGACCUAAAAUGUACCUUAAUCAACUAGUUUACCAUUUCCUACUUGCUUGGAUAAUAAGCAAAUCAAAAACCAAUCAUUUAAUCAAUCCAAAAUACAAUCAAACAUACUCCAAACAUGCCAGAACAACCAUCUUAGAUGCCUAACCAAUGUACCCUCAUUGGUACCACAAUUAUAUCAUCAAAACAUAUCAAUAAUGCAUCAUUCAAAUCAAAGUUUAAAACAUGCCAAAAUCACUCAAUUUAGCAUAGUUUAUAACUACCUAAAUAUCAAGAUUAAGUUCACAUACACCUAACAAGCAUUGGUUCAAAACAAUAUGCCAAAUUAUAGCUUCAAACACAAACAUAUAUUUAUAUACUCAAACUAACAUUAUACUUAUAACUCCAUUUACAAUCCAUCCACAAAAUAACUAUCAACUUAGGCACCUUAGGUACAUUCCAUCACAAAAGGUAAACAUCACCACAUUUGAGGUCGAGAUUGUUGUUGGAUGCUGAGUUAAUGAUCAAAAUAAAAGUACCUAACCUACGCACGGGAAACAAAACCGUACACUGAGUAAAACUCAGUGAUAUUUCUAUAAUCCGAACAUUUAAAGACAUAAUAAUACAUGAAUAAAUAAAUUGAAUUAUACAAUCACACUAUUAACUAAACAUACCAUUACAAGAUAUCAUCAUUUCAAUUUCAUGCAUAUUAAUACAUCAUUUCAUGUUGUACUCAAUUUUUCACAUGAUUUCAUACUUGAUUUGGCUUUAACAAAUAUCUCAAUUCAUAACACUUGCUAUAUAAAUAGCUUUCCAUAUAUCAAUUAACAUUGUAUCUAUACAAUGACACAACUCAUUCCACAUUCAAUUCAUGAGUACAUAACUCAUAUAUUUCAUUUAUUCACAACAUUAUUCACAUUUCAUGUUUCAAUCCAUUAUCUCAUUUCCAUUUCAUAUACCAUGCCAUUUCAAUUUCAAAUAUAAAAUUUUAUUAUUUAUUUACCUCUAUUAACACGACUCGGACUCGAACGGAUACACGGAUCCAACCAACACACUAGUUUGGCACUCAGUGCCUCAUCAAAUAAAUCUGAAAUAAUAAUUGCACCCAUCAUUAUAUAAAUUGACACCCAGUGUCUCAUCGGUUAAACCGAAGCAAAUUGGCACCCAGUUCUUUAUCGACUCAUAAUUGAAGAAAUCUCUAAACUCUUCUUAUCCUAUGGCAUGCCAUCAAUAUUCGAAUCAGCUCAAUGUAGUUAAUAGGGUUUCAUUUCACUUUUCAAAUACAACCAAUAUCCAAUUCUCAUAUUUGCACAUUAUCACAUUUAAACAUAUAUUCAUUUCAAUUUUCAAUUACUCAAUACAUUCAUAACAUAUGCCCGAUCAAUCUAAUUCAAUCCAAUUCAAUCAACUAUGAAUUCAAUUCAAUUGUAAAGCACAUUAAUUCUCAUGUCCAAUGCUUACCAUAUGCAAUAAUUCAAAAAGCAAUAAUUUACAAAUUAGUUCAGAUUAUAGAAACACAAACCGUGGAUUCUGAGCUAUUCGACCUUUUUUAGUCGAGGAUUCCGAUACGACGUUAACUACGGAACUAAAAAAAUUAAAUUACAUCAAUACAACACAAUUCAAUUUCAUAUCAAAUAUUUCAAUUUUUACUCAAUAUUUGCUUAAAUUUCAAUUUAGUCCCUAAACCGAGACUAAUUUUUAAUCUUCACAAUUUUGCUCUAUAUUUUCAUACUAAUUUCACUUUAAACUAAAUUUAACUCCCUAUUUUAAAUCUUUCCCUUGAAUUUCAAAAUUUUCACAAUUUAGUCCCUAUUACUCAAAAUCAAGAAUUAACUUCACUAUCUAGUCCUUUUCUAUUUCUAGCUCAAAAAUCUAUCAAUUUAGCCCCUAAUAUUUAAACUAUUCAACAAUAAUAACAUCCAAAAUUCUAACCAAUACCAAAAAUUACAACACGAGUCGGUUAACCCUAAGUACUGGGAUUCCAAAAACGUAGAAAUUACAAGAAAAUGGACUAAAUUGACUAACCGGUUAAAGUUUAAAAAUUCGAAACCCUUGGCCGUGCGUUUCUUUCUCUUUUCUCCCUUUAUUUUCUUUUUCUCUUUUAUCCAUUUCUUUUCUUUCUCAAAUUUUUGCAAGCAUUUCUAUUUCUAUUUAUUUAUUCUUUCUUUUAUUAUUAUAACUUUUAUUAUUUUUAUAACCUAUAUACAUAUUAAUUUCAUUUUAUUAAUCAUAAUAUAUAACUUAUAUAUAUUAAAUUAUUAUAUAUAUAAUACCCCAUUUGUAACACCCCUAACCCAUAUCCAUCGCUGGACUAGGGUUAAAGGCGUUACCAGACGAAUCAAAACAUUUUACGAACAAUUCAUAUACAUUAUCCACAAUCAUAGUCAAACAUUAUCAUAAUGUCCCUUAUAAAGGUCAUCAAGGCCUUAAACAUGCAUUAGAAAGGGGUCGGGACUAAACCGAUCUCAUACAAAUUUUUUUGAAAACUUAAACAUUUUUCAAAGUUACAGAAGUAACACGCCUGUGUGAAUAGGCCGUGUGACUCACAUGGCAUUAGACAUGCCUGUGUGUCUAGACCGUGUCAAAACAGGGCAUACAUACUGACUUGUCCACACAGCCACAAGACACACCUGUGUGCCAGGCUGUGUAAAAAUUAAGGAGGCUACUGACUUGGCCACACGAUUGACCACACGCCCGUGUGUCUAGCCGUGGUCGAAAUUGACUUGGCCAUAUGGCCUAGCACAUGCCCGUGUGUGCUACCGUGUGGUCUGCCCAAGCUCAUUUUGAAAUGGCCCUCGAGCAACACAGCUGAGACAUACACCCAUGUCUCUGCCCAUGUAGGCAAAAAUAGGCCAUUUACAAGGCCAAUUUGCCACCCCUUUAAGGGUCCUCCCUACAAAAAUCAAAACCACAACAUUUUAUACCUAUUUUUCAACCAUUUUACAACCAAAUCAUACACCAUUCAUGCCAUUACAUUAUCAACAAAUUCCAUUCUCAAUUCACCAAUCAAAUCAUACCAAAUCUAAACCAAAAUCAUACCAAAACAUAUGUUUCAAUACUUCAAUUUACAUCAUUCAAUCUCAUGACCAAAACUUACCACUUUCUCAAAUAAAUAUAUAUACCAAUACUUACCAAAAUGACCAAUUUCAAUAGGUAUAAACAUCAUAAUCAAGACACAUCAUAUUGAUCAUAUUGCAUCACAUAUUUCAUACCAAGAACUCAUUCAUAUACACAACCAUAAUCAAGCCAAAUCACAUGGCUAGAUAUAAACAUCACAAAACAUAAUCAAAGUACUUCUAGCCUAUACAUGUCAUACUUCAAUAUAUACAUUUUCAAAAGGUACCAAAGCAAGGUUCGAUAGUGUGGUGACGAUCCUCGACGAUCCCUGAGCUCUCAGUACUUCGAUAUCUAUAAAACAGUUGAAAAAUACACAGAGUAAGCUUUCAAAAUCUUAGUAAGCCAUAUACAAAUAAACUUAUCAUUCAAAACAUGAAAACAUCAUCAAAUUACAUAGACUCCAUGGGAAAAUAUUAACUCAAACUACAUAAUUCAUAUACAUUUCACAUAUUCCCAAUUCAUUUACACAUAUAGCAUAUUUUCUCUUACUUAUAACACAUAUCAUCACUUGUACAUAUACUUACCUUUUUUUUCUCAAACAUAGUAUACAUUUCGAACAUACCUGAAUCAGAUACACAUCUCAUAUAAUCAUUCAUUUCUCAGAAUGCCCAUUGAACCAUUUAGAAUCAUAAGGAUAUGCAGAUAGCUCGGAAAGGUCAUACAAUGCCAACGUCUCAGACAUGGUUUUACAUGUAAUCAAAUAUCGAUGCCACUAUCCCAGAUAAGGUCUUACACGAAAUCAAAUACGAUGCCAACAUCCCAGACGUGGUCUUACACGUAAAUCAUAAGUCGAUGCCCACAUCCUAGACGUGGUCUUACACGAUAACACAUAUCGGAUCCUAUGUCAUGACAUAUGUAUCCUAACUAUUCCUAAGGUUCGUACGGGGCAUUUCAGACGUUGGAACUUUGUUGAUACUUUCUCAGAUAUCUCAUAUUCAAGGCAUAAAGGCAUUCAUCAUUGCUCAAUAGCAUAUAAGCAUAAAUAAACCAUUUCAAAUACAAUUAUUUGUAUAUAGACUUACCUCGUACGAAUUCAGAUAGACGAAAUCGGCUACUCUACGACUUUCAAUUUUCCUCGAUCUAAUUCUGUUUUCUUUAGUUCUUGGUCUAUAUAAAUUCAAAUUUAACUCUUUUAUUCACAAAAUCAUUCAAAUCAAUCCAAAAACACAUAUUUAGGGAAUUUUACAAAUUAGCCCUCAUAUUUUCACAUUUUAACACUUUAGUCCCUAUUUCACAAAAUCACAAAAUACACAAACUUUCUUUAUACUUAUACUUUGCUGAAUAUUCAUAGUAUUCAUAAAAGUCCACAUAUUUCAUUUAUUUCACAUUUUAGUCCGUCAAAAUCUCAUUUUUACAAUUUAUCCAAAAUUACUCAAAUUCAUCAAAAAUUCAAAGACAAAACAUGUUAAACCAACAUCAAGCUUCCAUAUACUAUCAUCAAACUUCAUAAAACUCAUGGUUUCAUCAAUGGCAUAACUCAAAAUCAUCAACAAAGUCAGAAAUUGAGAUAUGGUCUUGAUAGAUUACUAAGCAAUGAUCACAAAAACGUAGAAAUUAUCGAAAACAAAACUCAUACCUCAAUCAAUGAAAAUCAAAGCCGAACCCUAGCUUGUAUUUCUUUCUUUUUCUUUUGAUGAUUUUGGAAACAUGGACAAAUUAAUGACCAAUUUCAUGUUUUUAUUUUACUUAACUUAUAAUUAUUAAUUAAAUACCAAAUUUGCCAUUUUAUUAAACCAUAAAAUAAUCAUUUAAGUGAUGGUCGUUAAUGUCUAUUAACCUUUUUAAUGGUCCAAUUGCAACAUAAGGAUCUUUCAUUUGCAAACACAUAUCAGAUAGGCACUUUAUCAAUUAGAAGGCCACUUUUACAUUUUAAGCAAUUAGGUCCUUUUUGCAAAUUAAGCACACAAAUGAUCAAAUUUUCACACAAAACUUUCACACAUGUCAAUUCACAUAUUUUAAGCGCAAAAAAUAAUAUUUAAAUAUUUUUUUGACUCAUAUUUGUGGUCCUGAAACCACUAUUCCGAUUAGGGUCUAAACCAGACUGUUAUAAUUCUCCCCCUCAAGGAUUUUCGUCCCCGAAAAUCUUACCAUUGAAUAGAUUUGGAUAUUGUUGUCUUAUAGUAUCUUCGGGCUCCCACGUAGCCUCUUCAACACCAUGUCGAUGCCACAUCACUUUUACUAAAUGAAUUUUCUUAUUUCGCAAUUCUUUAACCUCACUAGUUAAGAUACAGAUCAGUUCUUCUUCGUAGGUCAUAUUGGACUGAAUCUCAAUCUCAGACAGAGAAAUCACAUGUGAUGGAUCUGAUCUAUACCAUUGAAGCAUCGAUACGUGGAAUACAUUGUGAAUCUUUUCUAGCUCAGGUGGCAACAACAAUCUAUAUACAACUAGCCUGAUACGCUUGAUAAUUUUAUAUGGCCAGAUGAACUUUGGACUUAAUUUGCCUUUUCUGCCAAAUCGGAGUACUUUCUUCCACAGUGAGACUUUCAAAAAUACUUUGUCACUAAUUUCAAAUUCAAUGUCUUUUCAUUUCAAAUUUGCAUAUGAUUUCUAACGAUUGGAAGCUGCUUUCAAACUAUCUCGAAUCACUUUUACUUUCUGUUCAGUCUCUUUUAUCAAGUCAACCCCGUGAAUCUUAUUCUCAUUGAGCUUAGUCCAAUACAAAGGUGUACGGCAUUUGCGAUCAUAUAAGACUUCGUAUGGUGCCAUUUUGAUGCUCGGUUGAAAACUGUUAUUGUAAGCGAAUUCAAUCAAAGGCAAAUAUUCUUUCCACGUACCUUAAUGCAACAUCUCAACAUAUCCACGAGUAUCUGAAUAAUUCGCUCGGAUUGACCAUCCGUUUGUGGGUGAAAAGCAGUACUAAAAUGCAAUUUCGUACCAAAAGUAUCUUGCAAUUUCUUCCAAAAUUGCGAUGUGAAUCUCGGAUCUCUGUCUGACACAAUAGAUAAUGGCACACAGUACAAUAUCACAAUACUGAAAAUGUAUAACUUAUCUAACUUAUCAAGUAAGUAAUCGGAUUGUACCGGAUUAAAAUGGGCUGAUUUCGUUAAUCUAUCAACUACAACCCAGAUUAUAUCUUUCUUUCUCAGAUAUAGAGGUAAACCCGAAACAAAGUCUAUUUUCACUCUAUCCCAUUUCCAUUCCGGAAUCAAAAAUCGGUUGUAACAAACCGGAUGGCACCUGAUGUUCAGCUUUAACUUGCUGACAGAUUAAACAUUUAGAAACAAAGUCAAAGAUAUCUUUUUUCAUUCCAGACCACCAAUAAUGCUGUUUCAGAUCAUUAUACAUUUUACUACUACUUGGAUGAACAAAUAAACGACUUUUGUGAGCUUCGUUCAAAAUCAUCAGAAUCAAAUCUAGAUUUCUCAAAGCACAAAUCUGAUCUCAGAAUCUCAGACAAUCAACUCUAAAUUCUGAAUCAGAAUCUAAUUCACUCUGAGUUCGUUUUGCUAUUAUCUCAUUAUCAACUUUCUGAGCAUCAAUAAUUUAUUGUAAAAAUAACGGUCUCGCUUUCAAUUCGGCUAAAACUGAACCAUCAUUGGACAGAACCAAAUGAGCAUUCAUCGUAUGUAAAGCAAACAAUAAUUUUCAGCUUAAAACAUCAGCAACAACAUUGGCUUUUCCUGGAUGGUAAUAAAUAACAAGCUUAUAGUCUUUUAACAGUUAUAACAACCUUCUCUAUCACAGGUUCAAAUCUUUCUGAGUCAUCAGAUAUUUCAAACUCUUAUGAUCAUAAUAUACAUGAUUUCUCACCAAACAGAUAGUGGCGCCAAAUUUUCAAAGCAAAUACAAUCGUAGCUAAUUCUAAAUCGUGCGUCGAAUAGUUCUUUUCGUGUGGCUUUAACCGUCUCGAAGUAUAAGUAAUGACUUUGCCUUCCAGCAUCAAAACACAUCCCAGACCGUUCAAUGAAGUAUCACUACAGAUCACAAAUUCUUUAGUCGAUUCGGGUUGUACUAACACUAGAGCUUCAGUCAAUAGGGCUUUCAAUUGAACAAAGCUUUUCUAAAAACUUUCGGACUAUUCAAACUUCAAAUAUUUCUGAAGUAGUUUCGUUAACGAAGUUGCAAUCAUAGAAAAGCCUUUUACGAACUGUCUAUAAUAAUUGGCAAGUCCCAGAAAACUGUGGACUUCGAAGACAUUUCUCGGAGGCUUCCAAUCUAAAAUAGCUGAAAUUUUGCUAGGAUCAACUCGAAUACCUGAUGCUGAUACAAUAUGGCCCAUAAAACUGACUUCUUGUAAUUAGAAUUCGUAUUUGCUAAACUUCGCAUACAGUUGCUUAUCAUGCAAAGUCUGUAAUACUAUUCUCAGAUGUUCAGCAUGCUCAGAUUUAUCAUGCGAAUAAAUCAAUAUGUCAUCAAUGAAUACGAUAACAAAUCGAUCUAAAUAAGGUCUGAAAAUUCUAUUCAUCAAAUCCAUAAAGAUAGCAGGUGCAUUAGUCAAUCUGAAAGGCAUAACUAGGAAUUCAUAGUGUUCAUACCUCGUUCUAAAUGUAGUUUUCAAAAUGUCUGAGUCUUUUACUCGCAGCUGAUAAUAAUCGGAUCUCAAAUUUAUCUUCAAAAACACAGUAGCUCCUUUCAACUGAUCAAACAAAUCAUCAAUUCGAGGCAGAGGGUAUUUAUUCUUGAUAGUCACUUUAUUCAACUGACGAUAAUCAAUGCACAUUCUCAUUGUACCAUCUUUAUUUUUCACAAACAGAACUAGUGCACCCUAAGGUGAAAAACUCGAUCUAGCAAACCCUUUAUCGGUCAACUCUUGCAAUUGAGACUUUAAUUCUUUUAACUCGAUCGGAGCCAUUUUAUACGGAGCUAUCAAAAUUAGAGUAGUCUCGGGUACUAAUUUAAUGCCAAAUUCAACUUCUCAAAUCAGAGAAAAUCCCGAAAGUUCUUUAGAAAACACAUCAGGGAAUUCAUAGACAAUAGGCAUUGAUUCAACUUUCUUUUCUGACACUUUUGAAUCGAUCACAUAGGCAAAGUAAGCUUCACAACCUUUUCUUACAAUAUUUAGAGCUUUUAUUGACGAAAUCACAGCCGGUAACCUAUUCAAAUCACUAGAUUCAAUUCAAACUAUUUCAUCAUUCUUACAUCUCAAAUCAACAGUUUUUCGUUUAUAAUUCACAAUAGCAUCAUGCAAAGGUAAUAACAUCAAAUCAGCCGAAAAACAAAUGUCUCGAAACAUCAACGGGUAAUUCUUGCAGACUUUAUCAACCAAAACACAUAUGCCUAGGGGGUUCGAUACUCUAAUCACAAAUUCAGUAGACUCUACAAGCAAAGUCCUACUGGAUACUAAAUUCAUGCAUAUAUACGAAUAUGUUAAUCCUGGAUCUAUCAAAGCAAUCACAGAAGUAUCGUAAAGAGUAAAAGUACCCGUAAUCACAUUAGGAGACGAAGCUUCCUCACGAGCUCGAAUAGCGUAAGCUCUGGCAGGUGCUCUAGCCUCGGAUCGAACAAUGGUGUCUUUGGUCCCUCUUUGACUACCACUCAUAUUUUUCGUAUUUCUGAGAGAUCUACCUCGAGCUGAAGUGUUACUAGGUUUCAGAUUUUGCACAAUUUCUUACUCGACAGAUUCGGGGCAAUCACGGAUGAAAUGGUCUAAUGAUCCACAUUUGAAACAAGCCUGAUUAUACAAUCUAUAAUUACCGAGAUGACUUUUAACAUAAUGUUUGCACUCAGGGCAAUUAGAUCUGACAUUUCCAACAUUAGCAAAAGAAGUAGUUGGAGCUUUGAAGCUCGAAUGUGCUCUCUACUCGAAUGUCCUACAUUAGCCUUUGAACGAUUAAAUCAUCUCGGAACUUCUUUGACACAGACUGAAAUGAUUUACUUGUAGAUCUCUUUCUCACGUCUCUAACUUCAGAAUCAGUUUUUUUUCUCUUUCCCAAGCUCUUCAGCUUUACAUGUUCGUUCAACAAGCACUGUAAAUUCUUUAAUCUCAAGAAUCCGACUAACAAAUGAAUAUCUUCAUUCAGACCAUCUUCAAAUAUUUUGCACAUUAUUGCCUCAGUAGAUACACAUUCUCAAGCAGAAUGACUCAGUCUUACAAAUUCUCGCUUGUAUUCUGUAACAAACAUACGACCUUGUUUUAGUUCAAGAAACUCUUUAUGUUUUUGAUCUAUGAAUCUCUGACUGAUGUAUUUCUUUUGGAAUUCAGCUUGGAAGAAAUCCCAAGUGACUCGUUCCCUCGAAAUCACGGAUAUUAAAGUCUUCCACCAAUGAUAGGUCAUAUCUCUCAGAAGCGAAACGGCACACUUUAGGCAUUCAUCGGGAUUCAAUGACAAUUUAUCAAAUACUCUUAUCAUAUUCUCUAACCAGAACUCGACUCUUUCAGCAUCAUCAUUCGUAGUAGCACGAAAUUCUUCGACCCCAUAUUUUCUAAUCUUAUCGAUUGGUGGCUUAUUUAACUGAAUCAGAUUCACUUGUGACAUAGUAAGGACUUGAGGAGGAUUAGAUGGGGUUGGGAGUUGUUGAACAGCCGAAUUAGUUCUAAUGUAUUGGUGGAACCAAUCAUUCAUCAUCUGAUAGAUGGCUUGUCUAGCCUUUCCAUCAUGGCUACUCGUAACCAGUCUAGAAUCAGAUGGCACUGUCCCUUGCGCUGGAGUAGGCGCAUUACUUUCGACAUCGUCAGCUACAACUUGUUCAGGAUCCAUUUGCUAUAUAAAAACACAUUUUUAUUGUCAAGAUUCAUCACACUAUCGUAUUUCAUAAAUAUGACAUGUAUAGCUAGACUCACAUACGCUACGUUAGUCCUAGAAUCGACUAAACCAUAGCUCUGAUACUAACCAAAUGUAACACCCCUAACCCGUAUCUGUUGCUAGGCAAGGUUUAAAGGAAUUACCAGAUGAAUCGAAACAUUUUACGAACAGUUCAUAUACAUUAUCCACAAUCAUAGUCAAACAUUAUCAUAAUGUCUCUUAUAUAGGUCAUCGAGACCUUAAACAUGCAUUAGAAAGGGUCCUCCCUACAAACAUCAAAACCACAACAUUUUAGACCAAAUUCUCAACCAUUUUACAACCAAAUCAUAAAUCAUUCAUGCCAUUACAUUAUCAACAAAUUCCAUUCUCAAUUUACCAAUCAAAUCAUACCAAAGCAUAUGUUUUAAUACUUCAAUUUACAUUAUUCAAUCUCAUAACCAAAACUUACCACUUUCUCAAAUAAAUAUAUAUACCAAUACUUACCAAAAUGACCAAUUUCAAUAGCCAUUCAAAACACAUCAUAUUGAUCAUAUUGUAUCAUAUAUUUCAUACCAAGAACUCAUUCAUAUACACAACCAUAAUCAAGCCAAAUCACAUGGCUAGAUAUAAACAUCACAAAACAUAAUCAAAGUACUUCUAGCCUAUACAUGCCAUACUUCAAUAUAUACAUUUUCAAAAGGUGCCAAAGCGAGGUUCGAUAGUGUGGUGACGAUCCUCGACGAUCCCUGAGCUCUCAGUAGCUUCGAUAUCUAUAAAACAAUUGAAAAACACACAAAGUAAGCUUUCAAAAGCUUAGUAAGCCAUAUACAAAUAAACUUAUUCAUUCAGAACAUGAAAACAUCAACAAAUUACAUAGACUUAAUGGCCAAAUAUUAUCUCAAACCACAUAAUUCAUAUACAUUUCACAUAUUCCCAAUUCAUUUACACAUAUAGCAUAUUUUCUCAUACUUAUAACAGAUACCAUCACUUGUACAUAUACUUACCUUUUUUUUCUCUAACAUAGUAUACAUUUCGAACAUACCUGAAUCAGAUACACAUAUCAUAUAAUUAGUCGUUUCUCGGAAUGCCCGUUGAACCGUUUAGAAUCAUAAGGAUACGCGAAUAGCUCGAAAAGCUCAUACAAUACCAACAUCCUAAACGUGGUAUUACAUGCAAUCAAAUAUCGAUGCCACUGUUCCAGACAGGGUCUUACACGAAAUCAAAUACGAUGCCAAUGUCCCAGACGUGGAAAUUAUCGAAAACAGAACAAAACUCAUACCUCAAUCAAUGAAAAUCAAAGCCGAACCCUAUCUUGAAUUUCUUUCUUUUUCUUUUGAUGAUUUUGGCAACAUGGAUGAAUUAAUGGCCAAUUUCAUGUUUUAUUUUACUUAACUUAUAAUUAUUAAUCAAAUACCAAAUUUGCCCUUUUAUUAAACCAUAUAAUAAUCAUUUAAGUGAUGAUCAUUAAUGUCCAUUAACCUUGUUAAUGGUCCAAUUGCAAUAUAAGGACCUUUCAUUUACAAAGACAUAUCAAAUAGGAACUUUAUCAAUUAGAAGGCCACUUUUACAUUUUAAGCGAUUAGGUCCUUUUUGCAAAUUAAGCACACAAAUGAUCAAAUUUUCACACGGAACUUUCUCACAUAUCAAUUCACAUAUUUUAAGCACAAAAAAUAAUAUUAAAAUGUUUUUCUGACUCGAAUUUGUGGUUCCAAAACCACUAUUCUGACCAAGGUCUAAACCAAACUGUUACAUCAUUAAUGCCAUCUACUACAUAUAUAAAGGUAUAUUUGCUACUUUAAUCUCUCAAUUAAUUUUAUUCUAUAAUUAAACUUUUACCCUAUACGUGAUUUAGUCCUUAUACUAUAAUAACUCUUAAUUCAUGCAAUUUCACUUAACAGAAAUCUAAUUAAUUACACAACCAACUAAGAAAUAUUUACGAGUCCAAUUUACGAGAACGGAGUCCCAGGAAUGCACUUUUUGACACCCCUGACUAUCAAGGUGUUACUAUUUGAGUCGGUUGAAAUGCUUUAAGUUGUGUAUCUAGUGGAUUACAUACCAUUAGUAGUUUAACAACUACUUGGUUAAAUAAAACAAAAUAACAUAAAAGCAAAUAAAAAUCGAACAACAAUUCGACUCUUUAGCAAUGUAAUUGAAGGUGAAGAAUUUAGAUGAAUUUGCUUGCCUAACUAGCCUCGAGCCUCCAAUAGUACUUAUUGAUCAAAGUAAUUGAGCAACAAUUUACUUGGUUUGCUUACCUGAUGAUCAAAAUCAAUACUGCUAACUGAAAGUAUUUCAUUAGUAAUUUCAAUGUCCUUAUUGAUCAACCCAUCAAACCAUUUAUUUGCAAUGUUAACAAACUCUUGUGACUGUUGCAUGUAAAAAAAAUAACACUAAUAGUAAGAGAAUAUAAUUAAACUACCUUCGCUUUCCCUCUUGAACAUCAGGCCCUACUCUUUGCAACUAAAAUUAUUGAGUAUAACUCCUAUUUCAGUCAAAUUUGAGAAAUAAUCUUUCAGUUAAACUCUGUUUAUUUGUUUCAAUCAAACUCUGAUUAGUCUAGAUUAUUUUAUUAUUAUUUGACGUUUGAAUUUAGUCGGCUGUUUUACAACCUUAGAAAAUACACCCAUUAGAUAUUAGAACUCAUAGCACAUUUACAGAAUUUUGUGUUUACGUUUUGAUGGUUCUUUGUUUUUCGAGUUUUCGGGGUUUAGUUUUUAUCUCCAUCUUUUGUACUCUUUGUUCUUUUUCCAUUAUAGUAAAAUUAUCUUUGCCCGUGGUUUUUAUCCUCUUUGGAAGGAUUUUCCAUAUUAAAUUUGUGUGUUUAAUUUCUUAAUUUAUUCUGCUAUUUUUUUUACUUGUUGCAUAAUCGGGUCGAUCCCAACAAAAACUAAAAGACCUUGUCUACAAUAGCAUAUUUUCCAACGAACUACUAAGAAGUUUUAGAAUUAUAAAACUUCCCAACCACAGCAAUCACUGUUUCUCUGGAACACUAAAAGAGAACACUCUUGACUUACUUUCUUUCUAGAAAAACUAAUGGAACUUUUAGGCUUACCAAAUUUAGUGGAACUUUUAGGCUUAACAAAUUUAGUGAGAAAAUAAAUAAAUUAUGGCACAAUCAAAACCUUGCAUUUUUGUUAUUCAAAUGCAUUGUUGUAGAAUCAUGCGAAACAUGUUGAAACAUGGGUUCAACGGAGGGCUUUUAGAAUGUAAUUGGAGGGUGUAUUGUCCUACACUCACCAUACAGAUGUUUUGAAUGGAAAAGCCAUUUGGUCAUGAAAAAGCUUUUGAUACAUAAUCUAAAAUGUAAUCGAAGAAUGUAUUGACCUAUUAAAAUAACAUCAUGCGAGUUGCAAUGUGACGUUUUGUAGUCUUUACUCUUCAGAGGAAAGCGUUACGUUUUCCCCCUACUCAUUGAGGAACCUUUUUCCGUCUAUUUAUGACGACCUGAGUGUUGAAGUCACUUGACAAAACUCUAGUGAAAAUUCUUCAGCGGGGUUAUACGUGUCAACCUUAAUUAUUACAAAAUUAUGCUUAUGUAUAUUUUUAAUUAAAUAAACGAGCUAAUAAAAUCAACUCUUCAUCUAAAUAAAUCCUUAUCUUCUUUUUGUGCGUGUAGAGUGUAGACACAAGUGCCUUGAAGCUAUAUUGAAAUAUUGACUACUCGUCCAAUAAAAAAUCCCCGUAUUAUAUAUCCAAGUUCCCAACCUUAAGUAGGCAAAAUCAUUACCAUCUUAACCAUUGAAACUAAGCUCUCAUCUAUCAUCUGUACCACACACGAAAGCGAGAACCUUCCUGUAUUGCCUAAUGGUGACCACUUAUUUUUUACAGUAGGCAUGAGAUAGGACUAAGUCAUUUGAUAGAAUGGCAAUCACCGCGAAGAUUAUGACACAACAAAAUGCCCAGUAGUGCUCAUAUAAUAAAAGUACCAAAUAACUGAAAGCGCAAUCCCCCAAAAACCAGAGGAUCCGCAGGGAAAAAAGCUAGUUUGUCAUCCCUAAUAAGCAAAAGCAAGCAAAGAUUCAGGUUUUUAAAGUAAAUUAUAGCAUCAAAACCAAAGAUAACAGGGCAAAACAUGCCACAAAUUCUAUUUCCGAGUCUACUCAGCAUUAUCCUCAUCCUUAACAUCAUAUUAUCAACUCCAGCAAUUUACUCAUCAUCCUCAUCAGAAUCAACUCCGGCAGCUGAAUUGAGAGCUUUCAACCUAUCAAUCAACUUGGCUUUCCUUUCCUCAUAAGACAGCUUCUUCAGGUUGUACCUAUCGUGCACAGACCAACAUUACAGACUUGAAAUUCUUCAAGACAAAAACUUAAAUGAACAUUCAAAUGAUAAUAACAAAGCCAGUUUAGUGGCAAGAAGUUAUAUACCUCUUGUGUUCCUUGGGAGGUGGCUUCUCAGAUUUCUUAGCUUCUGGAUUUGCGCGAAUAGCAGCAUGAACCUUUUUGUAAACUCCCUCAAGGUUGUCUGCCUCAAUGCCCCGCUUUAUGUACUCACUGAAGUGAGAC